rnacentral:lncRNA from 1 species
CCCCCAAAAGAACUUGAGAUAAGAUAAAUUGGGCUUGAUCUGAACUUUUGGGCCCUUAAUGUAGAAGGCCCAAACCUUCAAAUGCUGUUGAAUUGGACUUUCUUAGGAUCCUUUGCAUUACAGAUCACAAUCUAGGAGUUGGGCUUUAUGGAUGCACUGAUUGGCAUCCACCUCAUGAAUUCACCAUCGAUCAUCUCAAAGUUACUAGUAAGGACUCUCCCUUUUUGCAAACUAAGUGGCUUGAAAGUGCUGAGACAGUAAUUUGUCGUAUGAAACUAACAUUGAAACAAACCAAUUGAGAAAUGGAAAGUUCCCCAAUACCCAUAGUAGAAGAGAGCCAGUUCCCCCAUAACAGGAUAAUAGAAUUCAGAAAACUUCAGCUCCUGCAGGAUUUGGCUGUAGAUUAAGGCACAAGGUGAAGAAAAAUUACCCCUCCCACAGGAUUGGAUAUUGAAAAGAAAAGCCUCAUACAAUGCACUUAGUCAUUUCAACCCAUAGCGCAUUUGACUGAUCUAUUGUUCACUGGAUGGCGGCUUGGCAAGCGGGUAGCUCAAAAUGUUUCGAGAAAACAAGAUUCCGAGGAGUGUGUCAAGCCUACUAGGGAUGAGGGAAGUGUCUAGAAGGUUGGAGAAACAUGUGGAUUGCAAGGGCUGUCUGGUGUAAUAUUAGCCGUAAGAUGCUUAAGGAGUUACCCAUAAAUAGGGACCCUUCAUUUGUAACCUGCAAGAGCUUAGCAAAGCAUAGCAUGAGAACAACUAAAAGUGUGCUGUUGUACCCUUGAUGUAAUAUUUGGUUGAGCAAUAAAACAGCAAAGCAUUCUCCCAUGUGGUGCAAGGGCCAAGCCAAAGACCGCAAGUCUCGGCAUGGCAAGACAUAUGACUAUCAUCCCAUGAAAGCUGGCUUCAUAGGAAUAAGUGGAUUAUCAUGUUCCCGAAUAAGAUUCAUGGAUAAUUUCGGAUACCGAACGGCAACUUGGCAAGGUUUAUUCUGAUAGAUUGAGGGUCAUUGAUGGUUUAUUUUUUCAAUGAUUAUUUAGGGGAAUUUGAUUAUGGUGUUUGUUAUCAUCCUACCACACACAAAACCAGCUUCUUUCUUGUUUGUCAAUUAUUUAUUUUUGUACAUUUUCAAAAUCAUAAAACAUUUCUACAAAAUUAUCAAGUCUAUUCGAAAGUAAGGCCAAGCCAGAAAUAUGUAAUUAGAAUAAUUAACAACAAAACUUGCAUACCAAAUCAAAAGGCUUCAUCUUGAAUUGUAAUGUCAGCUUCAGCAAGUUCACUCAUCACCUCAGCCUGAAACAACUCAACAGCUUCUUGAACCGUUGUUUGAUUCCAAAAUGCACCAAGAAGCAUACUCCAUUCUCCCUCUUUUGGAGUACAUCCAUCAAUCAGCAUUUCAUCAACAAUACGAGCAGCUUUGUGUAGGUCUCCAUCCUUAAAGAAAGAUUUCAUAAGAAUCUCGAAAGUCGCAAUCUCAACAGAGAUGGCCCUAGUUCUCAUGCUUAGAUACAACUUGAAAGCUCGACUUAAAUCACUCUUGGUGCAAAGGCCUUGGACCACCAUAUUAUGAAUCCUAACAUGAAGACUCCAAGUUAAUCGGUUUGGCAAGAUUCUGUCUAAAACCAUCUCAUCAAGGAAAUGUGCUGCCUCCUCAAACUUGUUGACAUCACAGAAUCCGCUUAUGAUUUUCCCGUACAAUCCUGCAUCUGGUUGCAGACCCUGAAGUUUCAUCCUGUCAAGAAUCUCCACAGUUUGUUGAAGCCUUCCCUCUUUACAUAGUCCAUGAAUUAAGCUACUAUAAGUUAUCAUGUUUGGUUUACAACGUUUGCUAACCAUUGUCUCCAGUAGUUCCAUCGCUUUGGAAGAACGACUAUCCUUGCAGAGACCAUCCAUUAAAGAACUAUAAGUAAACACAUUUGGCUCCAUACCAUUGUUUUUCAUUUCCUCAAGCAAAUCCAAAGCUUCAUUUAUAUUAUUUGACUGACAUAACCCAUGUAUCAAGGAUGAAUAUGUAAUAACAGAAGGAGAACAAUCUCUCAUUUUCAUCUCUUCAAAUAAAACCUUUGCAUCCAUUAACUUUCCGAAUUUACACAACCCAUUAAUCAAAGUUCCGUAAGUAUAAGAAUCUGGAGGACACCCACGAUUGGGCAUUUCACGAAAUAUAUGAAUAGCAGAAUCCAAGGUUCCACUAUUCUUACAGAGUGCUUUAAUCAAAAUAUUCAGGGUGACAACACUAGUUUGAACACCUACUUCUCUCAUAUUCCUGUAAAACCUAAAAGCGAGCUUUAACAGGUUCUCAUCAACCAGAAUAUCAAACAUAGUAAUAUAAGAUCUUUUACUGGGUUCACAUUGGAAGUCCUUCAUCUUACCAAAGACCCUCAUGGCAUCUAAUGGUCUAUGAACCCUUCCAUACCCUCUACAAAUAGAAAGGAAGAUAUCUUCUCUUACAUCACACUUUUCUUCUUUCAUUCUAUCAAGAAGAUCUUCAGCUGGUCCAAAUUUGUUUGCAGAAACUAAUCUAUUUAUUAUAACACCAAAAGUGCUGUGAUCAUGACGAAAACCAUUGGCAUACUCAGCUGUUGCCAAAUCAAAUAUAGCAAGAGCCUUGUCUACGUUCCUCUCUGCUUUUAUUAAGUGCACCACUUGAGAAGAAGUUAUUUUUUUCGACCAUUUAAAUGCAACCUUGGUGCCCAUUAUAGCCAACUCCCUAGGUUAACAGUAAAAAGCUCCCAAUUCAAAUAAUGUAUCAAAUGACAUGCUUCAAUCCUAGUCAGCAAUUCAUACAGACACCUAGACAAGAUUAUGAUAUAAAAGUUCAGCAAAUAUCUAAGAGGUGAGUAUAUAAUAAAUAUAUGAGACCAAAUUCGAAAAUGGAUGCCUCUAAAUUUAUUAAACAUGCCAAAAAGGAGAACCAAACGAUACAAUAAUGAACUGUUAAUGCAUUGGAUUGCUGGUGUGAGCAUUUUAUCGAACAUUUGGAGGGUGGAAAUCAGAAGAUUGCCAAAAUCAAUACAUGAGAAACCAGAAAAUUAAUUAGCAAAAUAAUCAACGCAUGAGUAAAUUCCCAACAAAUUUAACGAGAAUAAAAAAAAAUCUUCAAAAAGAUAAUUGAGCAAACAAGUGGCUUACUAUUCGCUGUGCUGACGUGAAGCGAGUGAUCCUAAUAUGUUUGAGAAAUCAAACUGCUAGUGCGGCUUGCUUGCUUGUGCCGUCGCAAUUCCUCAUAAACCAGGCUGUUGCAGGCCGAAUGCUGCCCAUAUUUCUGGCCCAAAAAGGGGUUCGAAACCGUAUUCUAGUAAGAAAACGAUCCAGCCCAGAAUUUGUGUAACAGAACAUAAUAUCUUGGACAUGAUAUCCCUUGCUUCACGAGACUUAUACUGGGGAAAAUAACUUGUCCCAUACGUCCCCUCUGCCCCAGUCUCUCGCCUUCCUCGGUUCUUCCCCUCCCUAAGCUAAAUCCUCAGCCACAGGCCGCAUUUUCCCUGUUGUCUAUUUUUUAGUGCAUUAUAUCACUGUUUCGUUAUUCGUCGUAUUAUUUGCUUACUGUCAAUGACUUAAAUAACUUUUUAUUUUGUUGACGUUUUUAAAUCAUAAGGUAAUAUGUUAACUUUUUUUUUUUUUUUUUUUUUUUUUUUUGCUUCUAAUACAUUUUUUGGAUUAGCCCAAUACAAACGGUAUGUAACCGUUAACAGAUACAAUUGAAACAUAACAUAAACUGGUACCAUUCAAACACCACCACCAUCACAACAACCAAAUAACUUAACUAAUCAAAUAGUUGUGACACGUAAUUGUGUUUAUUUAUACUUAUUAUAAAAUCUUCGAACUAGUGGAGUACCAACUUGAUUGAGGAAAGAUUAAUGUAUCAAUUUUUUUAAAUGAUAAUUAAUAUUCUUAUUUUUUCAUAUUUUCAUAUAAUCUUUAAAUUAAAUAAUUAAAAAUUACAUAUUCGAUGAUUAAAUGCAUGUUUAAUAAAAUUUACAUACAAAUUUUUUACCAUUUGAAUACAUUUCACUCGCAACAUAAGUGAAAUAUGAUUUAAUAUUAUAUAACCUUUUUUUAAAUCCUGAAUCUUGAUCACUUGCAUGAGCUUCUUUGAAUUAUAACCAUGUAAUUAUAGAAUUGUUAUAGAUCUACAUUUAAUAUAUUUUCAAUAUCUACGCUAUAUAUUAAGAUUUCAAGUUUUGAUUAAAUUAGUGCCAUUCACAACUAGAUUUCAAUUGUAAAAUUACUUUUACAAAGCAAAUAUUAUUAUUUUGAAAGUAUUUAUGCGUUGUUUAUUUUUAUAUAAAAUCCGGGAAAACAAAUUAAUCCAAUAUACUAUAAAAAUCAGUCUCUCAACCUUACCAAUUCAAUUAAAACCCAUAUUUAAUUUUUAUACUAAUUUUUUUUAUAAAUUCAUUAUAUAGUUAUUUUCUCUAGUUAAAUUAUUUAUAUCUAUAUUUAAAAUUUUUGCAAAGAUAUUUUAAACAAUGUAUACUUGAGUGAUUUAUGCACCAUUUCCUAAUAAAAAUUAUGCAGUAUUACGUAUCGCAUACAAUAGGUAAAAACAACAAAAGUCAUAUUUGUUCAUUCCCCCCUCCCCCUUAUUAAAAGAUCUCACUCUACCUACCAUCCACGCACAUUUUGUUCUUGAGAGAGUUAUAAUUAUUUUAUAUAUCAAUUGCAAGGUUUGGAACUUGAAUUCCACAUACGAAAAUAUUAAAUUUUUUAAUAGGCUUUGCAUGGAUCUAGACUCUCUAACCUUAAUAGUUAGCUUUUGGGGUGUGAUUCUCUAAAGGUCUAUAUCAAUUCAUAUUAGAGCCAACCAUCAUGUCUCUCAUUGCAAUUGUAUGACAUGGGUGGUGAUGCCAACAUUGUAAUGUUCACCUGAGAUUACAUUAAGCUAGUGCAAACCCAGCUAGUAUGGGCACAUAACUGCAGAGCCUGGUGGAUGUUAUGUACCAAUUGCAAUAUAUGAGACUUAUGUAACAGCCUAAUUUUUCAGUGGUAUCGAAAACAGUGGUUUCGGAGUCACCGAAUUCGGCAAGUAAGUUCAUAAAUAUUAUUAUCUAACAUUUACGAAUUAAAUAUGAUUUUAAAAAAAGGGGUCUUUGAAUUGGUAAUUUGUGUUUUAUAAUGAUUUAUUAAGUCAAGUGGUUUUAGAAAGUGAGGUAUCGAGACCUCGUUUCUAUAAACCGAGCCGUAAAUAUUUUUAUAAAUAUUUACGGAGUGUCAUUAAGGUAGUAUUAAAGUUUCGUUGAAAAUUUUAAUGUUCUGAUAGCUAAUUAAUUAAAAAGGACUAAAUUAAAAAGGUACAAAACUUGUUAAUUAUAAGAAUUAAGUGAUUAAAUGGUUUAAUUAAUAAAUAGGGAAGGACUUAAGAAAUAAAUAAACCUAAAUUAAAUGGAUGAGGCGGGAUAAGAGAGAAAAAAAAUAAAAUAAAGCCAUUAAUGGUAAAAUUGUAAUUUUGGUUAAAUUAUAAAUAAAACAAAUUGAAUUUGGAUAGUUUUCUAGACAAUUCCUCUUCAAAUUCGGCCAAAACAGCCAUAGGGGAAAGAGUUUAAGCUGGUGCUUUAUAUUUUGGCGUAAAUACUCGUGAAAAAGGAAAAAUAGUGGAAUAAUCCUUGAACUUCUGCAAUUAUUACAAUUCAAUCCAAGUAAGUUCGUACAGUUAAAAUUUAAUAUUUUGUAUAAAUUGAUGAAUGGUAUUAUUUAUUUAUUCUAUUUUUGGAAUUGAACUAUUGUUGAAAUUAUAAUAUUGAAUUGGAUUUCGGUUUGAAUGGAACGCGAGAUUUGAGUACAUUCGUAUUUUGGUGUAUGAUGGUUUGGAAAGAGACAACGAUAUUUUUUCAAAGUAAAUCGGGGUUCAGCAUUUGUUGCGAACUCUCGUGUUUUACUUUUUGUUCAGCUCUUAUGAGUUUCUGUUCAGCUCUUAUGAGCUUCUGUUCAGCUCUUACAAGCUUCUGUUGGUGUAUUCAGGAAGACUAACUCUUGUGAGCUUCUGUUAACGAUGUACUAUUAUCCGUAAGUUGUUAUUCGAAUGGAAAAAUUUCGGUAAGGUGAUUUAUCUAAUGAAUUUGAAAGAUAUGUUAUUCAUUUUUACAUUGAUUUGAAAACGAAUGUAUUUAUUAAUAGAAUUUAUGGAUGAUAGGAAAUUGUCAGUGAAUGAUAGGGAAUUGACAUGAAUGAUUUUAUUUAUUUGACUUGUUAUAGUAGGUUCGGUAAGAUUUUGUUUAAACCAUCGAACUUACUAAGCUUCAUUAAGCUUAUUUGUAUUGUUUAAUGUCUUUGUAGAUUUUUAGAAGGUUGGACGAUAGGAUCAGCACUCAAGUCACACUAUCCAGCUUAUCUCUGUAGUUUUUAAAACAUUAAAUACGAUUUAUAUGGUAUGUAUAGGCUUUUGUUCGAUUUUGGUCAAAAUUUAGCUUAUGUAAAUGUUAUGAAUAAUAUUUUGUUUAUAUAACCAACAUACAUAUUGAUAUGAAUUUAAAGUAUGAGUGUGAUGUUAGUAUAAGUAAUAUAUAUAAUUGAGUUAAAACGAACUUUGGUAACUUAGUUAGGUAAAUUAAAUAGGUAAGUUUGGAUAUUUGUGGACUUAUUUUUAAGUUGUCAUUAGAGGUACUUAUGAGUAUAUUGGUUGUAGAAUUACAUGUAUACGGCUUGAUUUUAGCUUGUGUUGAAUGCUUUGUUAUGGCUUAUUGAUAUGUAAAUUGUUGAGGCUAUGUUGGUAUCAAUUUGGGUGAGAAAUAUGGUUUGGAAAAUGACCUAUUUUUGUCCACAGGGGCGUGUGUCUCAAUCGUGUGCAAUACACGGCCAAGUGACGCGGCUGUGUGUCCCCUAUAUCAUUUAAAUUGCACAAGUAAAUAUGCACACACGGCCUAGCACACGGGCGUAUUGCUUGGCCAUGUGGCCCAAGUCAAAGAGUUAUACGGGCAUGGACAUGGGCUGGAACACGGCCGUGUGUCCCUAUUUUAAAUGCCCACACGGCCUGGCCACACAGCCGUGUGUCCCCUGCAGCUUUGAAAAUUUCAAUAUUUUCUAAAAAAUUCUUUGAGUAUCCGAUUUAGUCCCGGCUUGUUUUUAACACGUAAUUUGGGCCUCGAUGGCUCAUAUAAAGGACAAUAUGUUUGAUUUUGAUUAGUUUAUUACAUGAAUGUUAUAUUAUAUGAAAUGUCUAUUUAUUUGAUCUGUAAUCUCUGGUAAUGCUCCAUAAUCUUGUUUCGGCGACGGAUACGAAUUAGGGAUGUUACAACUUAGGGUCUGUUUGAUUGAAGGAGUUGAUUUUCCGGAAAAUCAUUUUCAACUUUUCCAGCGUUUGAUUGGCGGAAAACAUUUUCCAUUUGGAAAAUGAACUCCAAAACAAGGGAAAAUGGGUUACAUUUUAGGGAAAAUGUCUUACCCUUUCAAUUUCCGUAAGACAUUUUCCGUGCUCUCCUCUCUAUCGCCUCCUUCAUUCCUUCCUUCAUUUCCGGUGGAAAAUUGCUUCUGUUUAUCGAUUUUUCAGUAACUUAUUUUUUUAAUUAUUCAAUACUUGUUUUUUUAACACAAUUACAAAUAAUUUAUUUGAUAUUAAUUUUUUUCAAUUUAUAACGAUUAAUAUUGUAGCUUAAUAAUUGAGUAUUCUUAUAAAUAAAUCAUUGCAAUAUAUGUAAAAAUAAUUUAAAAUAUAAAAAUUUAUUAAUAUAUAUCAAUAUAUGUAAAAACAAUUUUUUCGAAAAAUAUUUCCAGGAAAUCUGCCAAACAGCCGAAAAUAUUUUACACAGAUUCAAUCAAACACCAGAAAAUAUUUUCCAGUAAAUCAUUUUACAGAAAAGUAAAAUAUUUUCCCGAAAUCAUUUUACGGAAAAUAUUUUACUGGCAAUCAAACAGGCCCUUAGAUUCCACAUAGAAAAAUAUAAAAAUAUAAAAGAAGGAUGCAUUGGAUUUUGAUUCAAAUAAUUUACAAUUCAAAUAAAAAAGUUGAUUGUAAAUGAAAUAUAAAUCUACCUCAAGAUGUUUUAUUUUGCUUUGCAAAACCAAACGUUGACUAUGAGAUAUGGCAUUUUAACUAUCACAAAAGAAUUUUGAACAUUGAAAUAGCAAAAGUUUGAAACUCUUUUACUAUAUUCAUAACCCCAAAAGUUUCAAAAGUAAUAAUUGUGAUGACUUGAUAUUUAGUUUAAGUGGAAGAGUGGGCAAUGAUUGGUUCUCCUUUGAAGACCAACUUGUUAGUUGUGGAUCAAAAUAAAGAAUGUAAUCAAUGUUAAACUGUGAUUAGUGUGAUCACUUGCCUAAUCCACGUUUGAAUACAUAUAAAGAUUUAGUCAAGUAUUGAAGAAUGCAUUUUACUUCUUUGGAGCAUGCAUAAACUUAAAAAGUUUGGUUCAUUGGAAACAAUCAAAUUUUGUGAAGGAAAGAAAUUAGAGUUUCCCAAUAGUUUAUCAAUAUAUAGUGACAUCAAUAUGGUCAAAUGCUCUUGAAGUUUGUAAGGAUAAGAGGAACUAAUUGAAGUACAAACUCAUAUACUGUAUUGCAUCCCUCUAUCAUUGAUAACAUGCUGAAUGUAUUUGCUUUGCGUCAUUAGGUAUAGUCCUAUCGAAUGUGCAUUUAUAUUUAUAAAAAAAGUCGGUAUGUAAAGCAAAACUCAUUCAAUUUGGAAUUGAAUAACUGGCUUGCGAUAUGGAGAAAGGUUCUUAACAGAUUUCUUUCACCCUAAUACUCAUGCAAGGGAGGGAUUUGCACGGUUAAAAUCCAAAGAAUAUGACGACAUGAUCUUUAACAUAGAUCCAUCUAUUAACAAACUUCGUUGGAAUUAUAGAGUCAGGUUGAUGGUCUUAAAAACUUUGCUCUCUUCUGAGCAGUACAAAAUAGACUAAAAGUUCUUUAUUCUUCUCAAAUGACAAAUGCAUCACUAUUAAAACCACACACUAACAGUAAACAAAACACUAGAAAUCAGGCAUCCUUUUCCAUACGAGUGGUGGAAUGAUCACAAGCAGGUAUUCCCAAGUUCCUACUGAUCAUAUCUUUCAUUUUUCCUAAAUCAAAGCCCACCCGAUGGUCCCAAUAACUUCUUGAUUCCAGAUUUCUGCUCUGCAGUUAACCUUGUUGGGAACUUAAUGUUGAACUUGAUUCUGAGGUUACCUCUUUUCGAUGGGUCUUUGGGAAUUGGCAUACCUUCCUUCGGGACUACCUCCUCAUAAUUUGGAUGGAUCACACUGUUGAUGGGGAUGUUCAAGCUCCUUCCAUCCAAUGUUGUAAGAUGAACGGUGUAGCCUGUUAAUGCUUCGGCCAGCGAUAUCUUUUGCGUGACAACCAGGUCAUUGCCAUCGCGUGUGAAUGUGCUGUGAGGUUUUUCAUCGAUUAUGAAAACAAGAUCUGCAGGGAUUGUGUUUGGUUGUUCGUUUCCUUUCUCAGGGAAGGUGAUCUUUGUUCCCUUUUUCCAACCAGGUUUGAUAUCAAUGGUCAGGAUUUCCUGCACUGGCAAUGUCUUCCUGCAACACAGUCAAAUUUUUAAGACAACCUUGUUAGCAAGCGAACCAUCAUUAUCAGGCAUGCCACGAUCUUAUCUCGUAUAGGUAUGUUUCUAAAUAACAUGUACGAAAUAUGAUCAAGAUAAACUCUUCAGCUCUCUUUUACUGCUUACUUAUAGACUAAAACAGAUCAAUUAGGAAGUUAACAAAUACGUUUCAAUAUAUCAUUGAAAACCAAUAAUUGAAUGAUUAAUAGUACUGCAAACAUAUUUCAAUAAAUAGAUACUUCUUGUUACUUCAGAAAGAUAUCAACCAAAUUCAAUGAACGUUCAGCUGGAAACUCGAGAACACAUACAAAAAGGAAGAUAAAAAGUCAAAUUAGUAAAGUGAGACAUACCCGCUAGCAUCUGCAAUUUCUCUAGAAAUCUUCAUCUUCUUUGUGGUUCCUUUAUAUAAAUCUUCAAGGCUACAAGGCAACGUAUUUUCAAUAGGAGGAGGUUUACGAGGAUUCUGACUCAUUGGCCUUCCUUCACCAAACGAACUGAAUAUAUCAUCACCAAACAUACCACCGAAUGACCUCGAGCUACCUCUCAUCCCACUGCCGCCCAUUCCCCCAAAGGGGCUAGAAUACCCAAAGAACUCGGCAAAGAUGUCAUUAGCAUUUCUGGGGUUGAAUCUGAACACAUUUGGACCAUCUCCGGUUUGGAAAAAUGUUGCUCCACCAGGUCCGCCAGCAUCUUGCGGUGGUACUUGGCCUUUUAGCCCUUCUUCACCAUACUGGUCGUAGAUAGCUCUCUUCUGUGGGUCACUCAGAACCUGCAAACAUGAAAGUUGGUCAUAUUUUCCUCUUAAAUUUUGACUUCCUGUAGAUGUAAAGAUCAAACUUUCAAUUGAUGAGAUGGGCAAUCGCAUAGUUUGAAUUGAGGAGACCUAGGUGAUAAGCAUGUGAUUUUGAAGUCUCAAUAACCAAAGAGAAACCACCAAACUUGAUCGAUGAUCAUCCUGAUUAUUAAAUAAAAGCAACCCAAUUUUUCCUUUGAACUUUAAGAAUCAACAACAUAAAUGAAUUUAUAAAAAAAGAAAAAGAGAUAAGCUAACCUCAUAAGCUUCAGAGAUUUGCUUGAAUUUGGCCUCAGCUUCCUUUUUGUUAUUUGGGUUCUUAUCAGGGUGCCACUUCAUGGCAAGCUUCCUAUAAGCUUUCUUCAAAUCAUCAUCUUUUGCAUUCUUGUCAACUUGUAGAAUCUUGUAAUAAUCUACACCCAUCUUCUUCUUACUCAACCUCUGCUUUUUUUCGCAGAGCUUCUUUAUUCGUUGCUGUAGCUUUGCCGCAGAAAAGAUAAAAAAAAAUGAAAAACUUGUGAGCACCUAGAAGAUAGAGUUGUGUUUGAAGUGGUUUAGUGUUUGAUUUAAGGGAAAAGAAGAAGAUAUGUCUGGAAGGCAAAUGAAAAUGACGAGAAGGGUGUCGAAGUUUCCAGAUAAGCCCAAGGGGCUACACGAUUUCUCCCGAUUUUGUGUUUCUAAUUUCUAAAGCAAACAAAACUACCUCUUCCUCGCCUCAUUGAUUAGUUUUUACAGUUACAACCCCAAUAGUUGGACCUGUUCUUGGCCCUCGCCUCUCCCGCGGGUAGUAACUAUUCCUACACCCAUACAGACGAAUCUUUCUAAUUUAAACCUGAUCUACUCAAAUUAAAUAUAAUUUCUAAAAUAAAAUUAUAAAAUAAUGUAAAUACUAACAACACGUUUGGUUCGCUGUAUUAGAUUAGAGGCAUAAUGGAAUAGAGGUGUAAUGGAUUAGAGGUGUAAUGGAAUAGAGGUGUAAUAGCAAAUCAACUGUUUGGUUGAAUGUAAUGGAAUAGAGGCGUAAUAGUAAUCUUGUGUUUGGUUGAAUGGAAUAGAGGUGUAAUAGCAUAAUGGAAAAAACUAAAAUGACUAGAAUACCCUUAGCAUAAAUUUGUUUUGGUAAAUGAUUAUUGUUAUUGUUAUUUAAAUUUUAAUAAGAUUAUUAUUAUCAAUAUUAAAUAAUUUAAUCAUAUUUAAACAUAAUUAUUAUUAAAUAUAUUAUAAUUAAAAUAUAUAAUUUAAUAAAAUUCUUAAUAAUCAAUAUUCUUAUAUGAAUUUACUCAAAUCAUAAUAUAUGAUACUAUAAAAUUUACUAAAAUCAUAAUACAUAAUACUAUAAAAUAUAAUUUAAAAUAAUUAUUAUUAAAUAUAAUUUAAUAAAAAUAUAUAAUUCCCCCCACGUUAUUUGGAGAUACAGGAUACGAAACGAAUUAAUUGUUUGACUAAUCAAGGGACUGAUUUUGUCUAGCCAUAAAAUAUAUCAAUAUAUAUAUUUAUGUAAUGAGAGUUUUUCAUUUACAUCCGAGUUUAAACUUUUAAUGGGAGAAAAAUUAUCAAAUUUAAUUAAACCAAAAAAAAAAAACUUUAAUGAGAAAAAAAUUCCAAAAAGAUCUAACUCUGCAAAAAGAAAUAAAAUAUCAAACUGUUUUACUUAAUUAAUCAGAUUGCUUUGCGUUGAGAUCUUAUUUAUCUUUCAAUUUCCAGAGCUAAAAUAGAUCAAGAGUGCUGAAUUAAAUUCCUCGUUCAUGAAAAGUAUAGCAGAGAUUACUGAAGUUACCAAAAACAAUUAAAUUAAAAUACAGUAUUUAAAACAAAUGGCGACAAUAGAUCAAACGAUGCCAUUAACUAUUAAGUGCUUAAAGAACACCAUAUCCCUCAGAAAACAAUACAUUAGAAAAACUAGAAUUCCAUACUGUCUUAAAAAGUUCCCAACAACAUGACAUGACAUGAAAUGAAAUGAAUAAACACCAUUUAGAAAAGAGAUGUUCCCUUCCCCUUCUUGUCGCCACCAAUUUCAAAAUGCUUGCACCUCUGCAACAACACAAGACACAAACACCAACACAUUAGCUCAUCAAGCAAACACAUUGGUCAACAAAGGUUUUUUCUCAAUGCACAAACCUUGAUUGGAUGCUAGGAUACAUGCUUGCAACCCUGGCAUUGCAGCCUCAGCACAAUCUUCUUGGUGGUCUUGGCCUAUUCAAACCAUACAAUGCCAUUAAUAUUAUAUAACAUGCUAGGAGUCUUGACAAAUAGCAAUGAUCAGAAUGACAAAAUGAGUUAACACUUGGUACUAACUAGUACCAGAAGAUGCAACAUAAGAUAUUAGAUCCUCUCUCGGUGUAUCAAGAAAUAGCAAUAGCUAAACAUCCUUUACUAACUAGUAUCAGAAGAUGCAGCAUAAGAAUUCUAGAUAUUUUGGUUAUAUAACUAAACACCAAGCAAGAUAUAAAAGACAAGUGAAGAGGAAUUACCUUCUUGUGGAACACUGGUUUGGUCUGACCACCAUAACCUGAUUUUUUUAAGAAAAUUUCUACUGCAUUUUUAAUGCCAAUUUGAUGUUCUUAACCAACUUCCAUUAAACAUUUACAAGAAAAAGGGAGAGUCGGCUAUUAAUUAAUAAUAACCAAUUAAAUAAUCAUGCAGAGCUUAGUUACGCAAUAUUUAUUGCGUCAUUAGGGAAUAUAUUGACCUAAGCAAACCUUGUAUUCAUCAAGCUAAGGCUGAAGAUAUCUAUGCAUUAAUUUCAACCCCAUAGUGUGGCAUUGAAAGGGUUCUGAGCAUGUUAACAGACUGAUUUGAUUAUUGAUGCAAGAACGAAAAUGAUAAGAAUCGGGUUGAAAAACAGGUAGUAUAAUCCAUGAACAAGCAACAGAAUGUGAAUCCCAUGCUGCGAAAUGUAAUAAGACAUGUUUUUGCAUGGGAUAAGCAAACCAGAUAGCAUACAUAAACCUUAAGACAUAACAUUGCAACAAAGUAUAAUCAUCUAGGCCUAUUGAAUAGAGGUUUGAUUCUACAAGAAUGAAUAUGGUGCAACUUUACGACAAAAACUUGAUUGCGAUUUCAAGCUGCAUAUAAAGCAAGCAAAGAAGCAGAAUUGGGUUCUAACUGACCAUAGUGCAGUGUCAUAGUGAACAUGUAGAAAGCUUCAUAGCUUCCAACUUCAUCCGGGUUCGAAAAUUAACAGCCUUAGCAUAAAAACAUGCCUAAUAUGCCACAAAAGUGAGAACCCUAUAGGCCUAGACUAAGGUCAUGCAACUGAAAGCUGCAAUAGAAGAAGCUGAAACCUAUACUAGAUGAUAAGAUAAAACUGAUAUACAAUUUGUACGAGCAACGGUAUAAACAAGUCAUCAAGUGAAAGCAUUACAAAUUGUUCUCUAUCAGCAAACAUGAAAACUUGCUCUAAUGAAAGCAUUGUUGCAAACGGUUUAAACACGAAAAUAGAAUAUUCGUUGCAACCCCAUGGUACAAAUAUGUUUCAAACAAAACCGAAUAGUAAACGGGGAACAAAUUCUGUCUUGCAAUGAACAUGUAAGGCAUAUAUCGAAUCGACGUAAACGACAUAAUGUAUGAAUUAUGAUACAAUAUAACAAAGGAUAAGCAAAACAAAGGAUAACCAAAGUAACAUGAAUACAAACAAGCAAAAUAGAAGCAAUUCAUUCAAACUUAAAUGGAAAUAAUUUAGCAUAUAUCAUCUAUGCUAGUUGAUCAAAUGGAAAUAAUUUAGCAUGUCAGAAGAGAGGACCUAACAUUCUUUAGGGCCUAAGAUGAAACUUAAAUGAUAUAUGACUAUGCAUGCCUGGAAUUUUAACAUUAUUUCUACUUUUAUGUUACUAAAACCUUGUCCCUCAGAGAAUUUUGCUCUUUUGAUCAGGUGACAGAAAGCAAAUUAGAUCAGUCCCAGCCUUUAGAAGACAAUUCUAACUCAAUUUCAAACAAUGGAAUGCACUAAAUCGAAAUUUUAAACUAAAUAAAUUUAAAACACUAAUCAGGAAACAUAGAUAAACAUCUGAAGCGUAAAAAUUAAAGGAAAGGAGACAAGGUAUUCUCACUGGUAGUAGAGGCGCAGGCGGCGGUGCUGGAAGUUCAAAUCUGUGAAAGUGAUGAAAUUUUUGGGUCCUGAUAAAAAAAAGAGCAAAAACGUAUGAGAAGAUGGAGCUGAAGGCAAAAAUCAGUUUUAAGUUUACCUCUGCAAUCAAUGGAAGGGAAACGUCGGAGAGGAUGAAGCUUGAUAAGGGCAGAAAAAGAUUACCUCCCUUCCCGCUACUGUUUCUCAGUCGUUGUAAGAAGCGGAAGAAUGGUGAAGCCCUUUGGCUGUCAGCGUACCUUUGGCUGGAAGAAGAUGAAGGCGAAUCGAUUUGGCUGGAAGAAUAUGUGAAAACGUGAAGGUGAAUCGAUUUGGCUUGAUUUGAGGAUAUGAAAUCGACGGGAAAUUUUUGGGGAGAAGAAGGCAGGUUAUUUUGAUCUCAAAAUUAAAGAAGAAAACGGUGAAUAGCUAUUACAAACUAAAACCCAGGAAUACCUAUUACAGCUGCUGAGGGAAUAGGCAAGGAAUAGCAAAACCUCCGAUUAGGUAAACGGCGAAACCAAACGGCGUAUUAGGUGGGGCCACCGAAUCGGGGUGUAAUGGAUUAGCCAUUUCACCCAACCAAACAUGGUGUAAAUACAUAUGGUACACCAACUUAUGGAUAAUAAGAAAAUUUUUAAAAAUAAAAUUUCAUCAAUGAAUAGAUUUCUUUUUUGGUCAAUUACGAAGAGGGUAAAGCCCUAACAACAACACAAUUAAUACAACUUGAACUCAAGUCACACUUAGGAUGAUGAACACCUUAACUAUUAAGCCAACACACAAGGUUCUCAAUUGAUAGAUUUUUAAAAUAAAAGCAUUUGUAAUCAUCAAUAAAUCAUAAUAACUUUUCUCUUUUUUCUUCAAGUCAUUUGUUUUUUUGUCUAGUGAUGGUGUCGGCUUCGGAGUUAACUAUCGUCCACUUUUUUUUCCCUCACAUCAAUCAUUUUUUUCUUCUUUCUUUUUUCUUUUCAUUCACAUCAUGUGUGUUUUCUCUUUUCAAUUUGCAGAUCUAUUUUGUGGUAUAUUUGCUCUCUUCACAAGUUGUGAUGGACAAAUGACGGUGUUUGUUGUCAUUGAAAAUCCAUCGACUACUAGCAAUUUUUCUUGAAAAGUGAGUGACUCUCCGUCAAUUUCAAAAUAAUAAAUGAUUUCACAAAUCGGUUUGGAUCCGUAAUGUCUUGAGUUUUAUAUGUUUUUUUUCGUUGUUUAAUUAGUUUUCACGAAGUUUUUGUUUGCUCUUAUAACACAUUUUUUACUCUUGCUUAUGCAUAUAGUCUUACUUUUGCAAGUGAUUUUAAGGAUGGUUUUGUCGCUGUCCUCUUCUAUUUGGUGAAUGCUUGGGUAUUUUGUUGAUUUUUGUCCACCGCUUUGGACCAUCCGGUUGAUUUCCUUAUCAUAUUAAGUGCUUACAAUCAUAAUUUGUAACACCCCUUACCCGAGACCAUUACCGGAGUCGAGCUCGAGGCAUUACUUUACUUAACUUAAAAAUUCGGGGCAUAAAAUUUUACUUUUGAAAUUAAUUUCACUAUUCACAACAAAGCUGUCCACCUGCGCAGCAGUUACUAAUUUAGUUAUAACUCGAGCUACGAAACCAAAAUUUAAAUCUGUAAAUUUUCCCUGAAACUAGACUCAUAUGUCUUCUUACCAUAAAAUUUUCAGAAUUUUUGGUUCAGCCAAUUAGUACAGUUUAUUAGUUAAAGUCUCCCCUGUUUCACCACUCGACUAUCCUGACCUCUUGUCACUAAAAAUAAGCUUUCUCAUUGUAGGAAUUUCAUAUGGUGUUAUAAUUUAUUUCUACAGAAAAUAGACUCAAUAAGGAAUCUAGAAAUAUAAAAUAUAACUCAUAAACAUUUUUGUAAAAUUUUUAAUGAUUUUCUAAACUCAGAACAGAGGACUCCAAAAAUAGUUUUGACCCUGUCUCACUAAAAUUCACAUAUCUUAAAAUAUAAAAUUCAUUUUGCUACACCAUUAUUUUUAUAUGAAAGUAGACUAAAUAAUAUUUAAUUCUAUAUAGCAUUCACUUUCUAAUUCAUUUUAUACUAUCCUAUGUGAUUUUUCAAAUUCACGUCACUGUUGCUGCUUGAAAUCUGUUUCUUUGCAAAUUUUUCUCUUUCAUGAUUUCUAUGCAUGAUUUAUCACCUAAACAUUUAUAACAACAAACACCUUCAUACUAGCCAUUUUAACAAUCAUUCAUCAUCAAAUACUUACAUAUCAUUCUUUAGAAAAAUCAUAAAUACUAACAUUCAAAAUAACUAAGUCCCUAUACAUGUCAUAACCCAAACAUGGUUCAUCAUAAAAUACCGAGUUGUUGUCGUUGAUAGUGUGGACAAUCUCCGACGUAUUUAAGUUCCCGAAAGUAGCUCUACAAUACUAUAUGAGAAAGAAAAAUAAAAGAAGUAAGCAUAAAGCUUAGUAAGUUUACUAGCAAAUAAAUAACAACAUUUAACACUAAUAAUUAAACUCAAAUGUCAAGAUCUCUAGUUUACUCUUUAUUUAAUCUCAUUCUCGUUCUCUUGCUGGUUUACUAAGUUAACUCAUGAUCGUAACUUAUUCUUCUCUUGCUGAAACAUUGAGUACCAAUUGAUAAUAUAGUAAGUUCUUAACUCUUAUAACUCAUCUGAGCUUGCCAUUUAUGCUUUUAAAUGAACUUUCAUUAACAUGAUUCGUUUACUAGCCCGUUGAGCCACGUUGGAAUAAUAAGGAUACUUGGGUCUUUUCUGAUAGUAACAUGUUAAAGCCAUGUCCCAAACAUGGUCUUACAUGGGAUGUUCUUAUAUCGGUGCCCAUGCCAUGUCCUAGACAUGGUCUUACGGGGGACCUUUCAUCUCGGUGCCAAUGCCAUGUCCCAGACAUGGUCUUACAUGGGACCUCUCAUCUCGGUGCCAACGCCAUGUCCCAGACAUGGUCUUACAUGGGACCUCUUUACCCAAAUGUCAUGGCAUUUGUAUCUGAUACAUUCAUCAUGUUUCAACGGGGCUUUUUAACACCGAUUCACUGUCAUCUCAUACUUGAGUCAACAUUAAAUAAAUUCAUAAAAUAAAUGCAUAAUUGCUGGAAAAUAACAAUAUUAAUAAUAAUUAUUGAAAUAUUGUAUUUAUUUACCGUAAACUUACCUCGGUACAAAAUAUAGCCAAAUUCACCAACUUAGCCUUCAACUUUAUUCUUUCCUUUGUCUAACCUCAAGUUUCAUUCUUCUUGAUCUAAAAUAGCAAAUUUAACUCAUUUAAUACUCACAUUUAUCAAAACAGCCCUCAACUCUAACUUUGGAAAAAUUACAAUUUUACCCCUAAACUUUUACAUAAUUACAUUUUUUCCUCAAGGCUCGGAAAUUAAACUUCAUCUCAUAUUCUUAUGUUUUAUGACAUGCUGAACAUUUUUCCCUUCUAUGGCAACAUAAAAUUUCUACUCUAACACUUAUAAACAUUAGGUAUUUUUACUGAUUAUGUCAACUUACUCGUUUUCACUUAAAAUCGCUUAGCAAAAGUUGUUUAACAUAAUUUCUAGUUUCAUAUUCCACCAUAAAACAUCAAAAUAAACAUAUUUCACCUAUGGGUAUUUUUCCAAAUAUGAACCCUAGGUUAAAUUAUUGCUAGAAUAGGCUAAAUUAAGCUACAGGGAUCUUAAAAACGUAAAAAACAUUAAAAACGGGGCUUGGGAUCACUUACUAUGGAGCUUGGAAGCUUGAAAACCCUAACUAUGGCUUCUCCCAUUGCUAAAUUUGGCCUAAUGAAGAAGAUGAUCAAAAAUUGUCUUUUAAUUUUGUUUUUAAUUCAUUUUAAUAACUAAAUGACUAAAAUGCCCUUAAUGAAAAACUUUAGAAACAUGCCUAACCAUGUCCAUUUUUGUCCACCAACUUAACCAAUGGUCUAAUUACCAUGUAAAGACCUCCAAUUUAAAAUUUCAUAACAAUUGGACACCUCUAACAUAUAGAACUCAACUUUUGCACUUUUUACAAUUUAGUCCUUUUGAUUAAAUUGAGUGCCCAAACGUCAAAAUUUUUGGAUGAAAUUUUCAUGAAAUCUUUCCGUGAAAUUGUAGGCCAUAGAAAUAUAAUAAAAAUAAAUUUUUCCUCAUCGGAUUUGUGGUCCCGAAAUUACUGUUUCGAUAACCUUAAAUUUGGGCCAUUACACAAUCACUCCAAAUAUGUCGUGAAAGUAGUGACAGGGUCAAUUGUCAAUGUGUCUACUGAUGCUGAUGUUAAAGCUUUUGUUGUGUUGAUGGAGCUUAUCCUUAAUCAUCUAAGACCAGUGUUUAUUUUUUUUCCUGAAUUGUAUAGUUCCAGUCAUUAAAUGAAUUAAUGAAUUUUCCUUUUAAAAAUAAACUAUUUGAUUUUUUAAAUAUUUUUAUUAAAAAUUUAUUUUAUACUAAUUUUAGGGAAAACUACACAGAUAGUCACCCAACUAUAAAAAUUUUCAUUUUGGGCAUCCAAAAUAAAAGUUUGCAAUUUAAGCACUCAUGCUAUAUAGUUCAGUCAUUUUGGUCACUCCCGUUAAAAUCACAAACGACAAGCUAACUUGAUUGUUAAAAAAUCGGUAUAAUAAUAAAUUUAGCCCUCAACUUUUAUAUAUUAUAUCGUUUUAAUCAUAAUUUUUAAAAAAUUAACCAUCGAAAUUUAUAAAUAUUCUCAAUUUGAUCCUAAUUCUAAAAAUUUUAAAAAUAUAUAAAAUACAUAAAUAUUUUUAAAAAAAUAUAAUAAUAAAUAUAUAGAAAUAGAAAUUUGAUUGUUGACAAAAAAUUAUAUAUAAAAAUAAAAAAUAUAUAAAAAUACAUAAAUAUUUUUCAAAAAAAUAUAAUAAUAAAUUUAAAAUUUAUAUUAGCAUUAAUAUUAAAUAAAAAUAUUUAUAUUGAUAUUAAACAAAAUUAAAAACCCUACCUCACCCCAUCCUUCUUCCCCACACCCUAUAUAUAUACUCCACUAAUCUCUUCAUUUUUUUUGUCCCUUUCCUUCGGACCUCUCUUUCCAGCAAUUGAAAAACAAAUAAUUUCCAUGUUGGUUUUAUUUUUUAUUUUUCGAAUUUUUUUUAUCUUCUUCUUUUUGUCUUGAAAGGGUAGUCUUUAGUUGGAGUCAUUAGAUUCCUAUGUGUUCAACAAGUGCAAAAGGAAGAAAGAAAAUGAACUAGUGAUUGUAGAAUUCAACUAAAAGUGUUAUCUUGGGUGUUCAUUAAAUGUUCAUUGUUAAUUAAUAUUCUUGGAAUGAUGCUUUAUCUAAAGCCUGAAGCUUUGGAUGAAGACCAUCAUCCUCAAAGUCCUAUUGUCCUAAUAGUAAUACCAUUAAUGACAAUGAGAAUGAGAAUUGCAAUGGUGGUAAUAAUGAGGUUUUAUUCUACCAAUCAAUUGGUAUGUCUUUAUUUAUUUUUUACUUCUUUAUUUAUGCUCAUGUAUUUUUUUUUUAGUUUUGUUAUGUUGAAUGCAAUAUGGUUGAUAGUUUUGCUGUGGUAGCUCUAUUAAUAGGUAUUUAUAAUGAAAAAGUAGUAAGGUUUGGAGCAAGUCAAUUUCACCUGGGGAUGAAUCUUAUAACUUUUGUUCUUAGUUGGAGGUAAUUUGCAAAAACUAAUUUUAUGUUCCUUAAUUUUCAGCAAAGAGAGAGGGGGGGGACAGUGGUGGGGCAAGGUUCGGUGGGGGAGGGGGAGGCGGGUUUUUAUUCUAUUUAAUAUAUUACUUUUUCUUGUCAACAGUUUAAUAUUUUAUCUUUAUAUUUAUUUAGAAAAAAUAUUUAUAUAUUUUUUAUUUUUUAAAAUUAGAAUAAAUUUGAUAUUAUUCGUAAAUUUUGAGAGUUAAUUUUUAAAAUUAUGACUAAAUUGAUAUAAUUUGUAAAAAUUGAGAGCUAAAAUUUUUAUUAUACUAAUUUUGUUAAUUGCUACGUCAACUUGCCGUUUGUGAUUUUAACAGAGUGACCAAAAUGACAAAAUUAUAUAAUAUGGGUGCUUAAGUUAUAACCUUUUUACUUUGAGUGCUUAAAAUAAAUUAUUGAUAAUUAAGUGACUAUUCGUAGUUUACCCUUAUUUCUAAACACCAAAUUAAUCAAAUUGUUUUUUUUUAAUCAUAGAAGAAGAAACACAUAAACAAAAUAGAUGCAAACACAUAAAUAAAAUAGAUGCAAUUUUUGGUGUUAUAACACCAAUAAUAUCAACACCAAGUUGAUCAAGAAGAUAAUAAUAGAAAACACUUUGCAAUGUUUGUCCCCAAGCCAUCGAUUCUAAAGAAAGUUUAUUACCCUCCCUGUAAACAUGUUGGAUAACCACAUCCCACUCCUUUAAAUAGUCCCAAUCUUUUCAAAUUAAAUUGAUCUCCCCAUCUUUAGCAUUGUUGGUUAGUACGUUUACAACAUCAAUACUGUCCACUUCGAGAAUCAGUCGGCGUUGUCCACUCCUCCAAGCAAGUAUUAACCCUUCAACCACAUCCCACAUCUCUGCUUCCCAUAUUGAACAUGAGCAAUGAGUUUAGAAAAUCCAACAACCCAUUCUCUAUUCCAAUCCCGUAUAACACCCUCAGAAGCAGACACACCAGUAAAGGACUUAUGAGCACCAUCAAUAUUCAACUCGUACCAUCCCAAAUCAGGUUUCCUCCAGUUAGCUGACUUCACAUUCCUCGAGUAGCUGCUUAUAAUACUAUUAUCAGCAUACUCCAUCGCACCAAUACAUUGUUGCUGCAAUCACAAACUCCUUUCCGAUACCGAUUCAAGCUCUACAAAAUUACCAUAAAAAAUGAAUCUAGUCAUACGCUUCCAUAGGUUCCAACAUAAUACUCCAACUAGCACUAUCUCGAGCAAAGUAACUAAUAUUAGAAAGAUUCUGGUUCACCCAUUCAAGAAUCUGCAUAGUUAUGAAUUCAACAAGUUUCUUCUUCCAAACCAACCAUUUCCAAAUGACUGACGCUACGAUACAUCCACGAAGCACAUGGUCUAAAGUUUGAUGGAUGGGUAAAUAACACGCUUCUUGUGUUGAUACCAAAGCUAAAGAGUCCAGAAAUUGUCCAUCAACUAAGGCCUAUUAGUUUGUGCAUAGUUCUGUACAAGAUAAUUACAAAGGUAAUUGUGAAUUGAUUGAAACCGUUUAUACUGAAAUGGGUGUUACCAAACUAAGUGAGUUUUGUGCCGGACAGGAACAUUAUAUAUAAUAUUAUUAUUGCUCAGGAAAUUAUACACACGAUGAUGAGUAAGUUUGGGAAGAGAGGAUGGUUGGUGAUAAAGGUUGACUUGGAAAAAACCUAUGACCGGUUAGAGUGGAGAUUCAUCGAGGAUACUUUACUCGAUAUUGGGAUUCCGACCAAGUUAAGAACUGUUAUUAUGCAUUGUGCUAGCUUGGUCUCAACUUGGGUGGUAUGGAAUGGGAAGGUGACGGAUACUUUUGCUCCAUCUCGAGGUUUUCGACAAAGUGAUCCGUUAUCCCCUUUUCUUUUUGUUUUAUAUAUGGAGAGGCUAGUUCAAACUAUUUGUAAAUUGAUGGAUUUGGGUCUAUGGAGAUAAAUUUUUUUACUAGAAAUAUCACGAGCAUCUCACAUUUAUUGUUUGUGGAUGAUCUCGUUUUGUUUGUUAGGGCCUCAAUGGAACAAAUGAGUAUUAUUUAUCAAAUUAUCAAUGAUUUUUGUGCUUGCUCGGGCCAUAGAGUGAGUGUGAAAAAGAUGAAAAAUUUAUUUUUUGAAGAAUGUUGAGGACAACCUCAAACAAUAAUUGAGUGAUAUGGUUUUGCAUGAGUGAAUGAUCUUGAAAAGUAUUUGUGUAACAGCUUAAUUUUCAGUGGUGUCGGAAACAAUGACCUUAGAUCACUAAAUCUGACCAGUGAGUUUUAAAAUAUAAUAAAUAAAUAAAUAUGAGUCAAAUGUGAUUAUAGAAGAAUUUUGGAUUUGUGAAUUUUGUGAUUUAAAAAGAAAUUAAUAAGUAAAUUGGGUCUAAAACGAGGUAUCAAAACCUCAAACUCAUAAAUUGAGCCAUAAAUAUAUUUAUAAAUAUUUAUAGAGUGUUAUUGAUUUGAUAUUAAAGUUUCGUUAGAAAAUUCUAACGUUUGGAUGGUCAAUUAAUUAAAAAGGACUAAAUUGAAAAUAGUGCAAAAUUUGAUAUAUUAUGAUUAAAUAGCUUAAGUGACUAAUAAGGAGGGAUUUAAAAGGUAAGAAAAUCAGCAAGAAAAUAAGGAGAAACAAGGGCAAAAUUGGAAAUUUUGCAAAUUAAACAUAUAAAACAAAGACAAAAUUGAAAAAUCUAUAGAUUUCUUCAUAAUUCAUCAGAAAAAACGCCAUAGGAGGUCUGAAACAAGCUUUUUUCUCAUAUUUUUAUACCAUGUGAGUUCAAUUCUUCUUUUUUCUUUGAAAUUUUUAUGUUUUGUUACUUUUACAACUAGGUCCAACUAUUGAAUUCAUUAGUUUUUGAUUCCAUGGGUGAUUUUGCAAGUUACCAUGAAUAAGUGCUGGAAGUUUAUGAUGAAUUAUCAUAGAUUUGAAGCUUUAAUUUCAUUAUAUUAUGAUUUUAUUAAGUGAUUUUAGUAUAAAAUGAUUUUUCAGACCUAAUUGUGAAAAAGCUAGGAAUUGGGAUUUUGAACUGAAAUUCUGAAUAUAAAGGGUUGUAUAAUAGCCUAAAAUGAUUAGAUAAAGUGUUAUUUGAGGAAGAAUUAGUUUAAUUAAAGUGUUAAUUAAGUAGGGACUAAAUUAUAAAAACUAUAAAUUUUGAGGUAAAAGUAUAAUUUUAAAAAUUGAAGGGUAUAGAUUGCGAAUUAAGCAUACAUUUAUAUAUAAAGUACUCAGUGCUUAGUAAGUUCGUAUAACAGAAAUUAACUUACCAUACAUUUAUACAUAAAGUAAGCAUACAAAAUGCAUCCAAAGCAAUUUGGCCAUUUGCCUAACACAUAACUUCACCAGGCAUGUUAGUCUUUCAUUUCAUGUAAAUAUCAACAAUAAAAAUGAGCUCAUCAAAUAUAAAAAUAUAAUCUGAUGUAAUUAAUGUAUAUACGGGUAUUGAUUAAUCUUGAUUUCAUAUGUUCUUAUAUCAGAAUUUCACCCGUUAAUUUAUUUGAAAUCUUGAUGGAUACUUAGGUAGUACACCUGAAGUGUACAAUAAUAUAAACCCGUCAAUUCAUAUCCAAGAGUGCUUUUAUGAACACUUAAACAGAAAGCUCUCUCUCAAGAACUAUAACGGGAAGCUCAUUGAGCCUUGUACAGGAAGCUUAUCCGGGCAAUAUAAUGGGAAGCUCACAAAGAGCCUAUAACAGGUAGCUCCGAAGAGCAAUUAAAGGGUAACACCGGAUAGCCAUAUAACGGGAAGUUUAAGCGAGCAGUAACGGGAAGCUCACAAAGAACCUUUAAUCGGGAAGCUCACAAAGAACCUUUAAUCGGGAAGCUCACAAAGAGCCAUAUAACGAGACACUCAUAAGAGCUGCAGUGUGCCCACAACACAUGUAAGGUCACAACCGAUCGGGAUGCUCCGAAGAACAUUUAACAGGAAGCUCGCAAGAACACUAUAUAAUGGGAAGCUUGAGAGGGCUUAUAACGGGACGCUCUUUAGAGCUACGAUAUGUGACACCCCCAACCUGUAUCCCUCGCUGGAACUGGGUUACGGAGCAUUACCGGAGUUUACAGAUCAAACAUACAGAAAUUUCAAACAUUUCAUAUCAUCAAAACAAGUCAUCAAAGCAUCAUUUUAAUCCAAAUUAUAAACAUAUCAAAUCUAAAUCAAUUUGCCUAGUUCAUGAGCAGUUAAACAUAAAAUUAAAUUCACAUGCAUCUAUCUAGAUUUAGUUCAAUUUAUCAUGCCAUAAUAUGGCUUAAAAAACAACUACAUAUUUAUAUGUAUAAAACCAACCAAAAUUAAACUUAUAACCUCAUUUACAAUCAAACCACAAAAUAACUAUUAUUUAGACACCCUAGGUACAUGCCGACACAAAGGAUAAACAUCACCAUAUUUGAAUUCGGGAUUGUUGUUGGAUGCUGAAUCGGUGAUCAAAAGUUAAGCACUUAACCUACGUACGAGAAACAAAACCGUACGCUGAGUAUAAACUCAGUGGUAUUUCUAUAAUCCGAAUAUUUAAAGAUAAGAAAUUACAAAUAUACAAUUGAAAUAUAAACACAUAUUAAUAUUUAAUUAUUACAAUAAUCAUAUCAUAUUUCAUUUGUUUCACAAAUAUCUCAAUUCUCAUACUUGCUAUAUAAAUAGUUUUCACAAUUUAUUUCACAUUUCAUUAUACAAUUGCAAUAUCCAUUCCAUAGUCAUUUCAUGAGUAUAUAACUCAUAUAUUCCAUAUAUUUGCAACGUAUUUCACAUUCUAUUUCCAAUUCACUAUUUCACUUCCAUUUCUCAUACCAUGCCAUUUCAAUAUCAAAUGCCAACUCAUUUACCCCUAUUAACACGACUCGGACUCGGACGGAUACAUGAAUCCAACCAAACACACCAGUUUGGCACCCAAUGCCUCAUCAGAUAAUUCGAAAUAUUAAUUUGACACCUAGUGUCUCAUCGAUUAAACUGAAGUAAAUUGGCACCCAGUGCCUCAUCGAAUUAAUUCAAAGUAGUAAAUUGACACCCAGUGUCUCAUCAACUCGAAGUCAAAGAAAUCCCUGAACUCUUCUAAUCUUAUGGCAUGCCAUCUAUAUCAGACUCAGCCCGAUACAAUUAAUAGGGUUUUAAAUUUACUUUUCAAAUACAACCAAUAUUCAAUUCAAUUCAAAUAAUCAAUAUAUUCAAUAUAUAUACCAAUUCAAUCAAUAUAAAUUUAAUAAAUUCAUCACAUAUUAAAUCAAUCCAUUUCAAUUGCAAAACACAAUAAUUCUCACCUCAACACUUACCAUAUACAUUAAAUUAAAAAUACAACAAUUAAUAACUAGUUUCGGAUUAUAGAAAUACAAACCAGGAAUUCCGAACUAUUCCACGUCGACUUUAUCUUUCCCCUUUUUAGUUUAGGAUUCUGGUAUGACGUUAGCUACGGAAUUAAAACAAUUAAAAUUCAUCACUAUAAUACAAUUCAAUUUCAUAUUGCAUAUUUCAAUUUUUACUCAACAUUUGUCUAGAUUCCAAUUUAGUCCAUAAACCGAGACUAAUUUAUUUCUUAACAAUCAAUUAUAUAUUUUUAUUCAAUUUCCACUUUAAAAUAGAUUUAACUCUUUAAUUUCACUUAAAUCCCUAAAUUUUUAAAUUUUCACAAUUUAGUCCCUAUUACUCAAAAUUUACAAUGUAUUCUACAAUCCAAUCCUUUUUCACUUCUAACUUAAAAAUCUAUCAAUUUAAUCCCUAAUAAUAAAAUUAUUCAACAUUAACAACAUUUAAAAACUUAAUAAUUUCUAAAAUUUUGACAUGGGUCAGGUAGUAUUUAAUAUCGGGAUUCCAAAAACAUAAAAAUUACAAAAAAAGGAUUAAAUUGACUAACCAAUUAAAUUUGGAACUUUUAAAACCUUAAGGCCCUUCGUCUGUUUCUUUCUCCUUUUUUUUUCGUUUUGCUUCUCUGUUUCGUUUCUACCUUUCUAUUUCUUUUUCUUUCUUUCUUUCUUUUUGUUUGUUUUAUUAUUAUAAUAUAUAAUAUAUAUACUUAUAUAUUAAGUAAACUUAUUUUAAUAUAAUAUAUAUUAAAUUCACAUAUAUUUAACUUAUGCCGCCUCACCUAAAGAAAAAUGACAUAAUUUUGUGAAACUUUAGGGGUAAAAAUGUAGUUUUUCCAAAGUAUGAUUUUUGGACUAAAUUGAAUAAUGAGAGUGUUAAACAAGUUAAAUAUGUUAUUAUAAAUCAAGAAAGACGAGAAAUUGACUUUGAUCAGUGAGAAAGAAAAGUGAGAAAAAGUGAAAUUAUGAAAAAGUACAUUUAGCAACAAACAGUUUAGACAGCAACAGUUGUGUGACUUUGAAAAAUCACCAAAAAUGGUGAAAAUUUAAUUAUAGGCUGAAUAAUGUAUGAAAUUAAAACUUAAUGAGUCUAUUUUUACAUAAAAGAGACAGAGAAAGCAAAAGAAUUUUAUAUUAUGAGAUAUUUGAAUUUUAGUGAGACAGGGCUAGAAUGAUUUCGAAAUCUCAUGUUCUGACUUUGGAAAAUCAUUAAAAAUUGUAAAUUAAUAAUAAUGGGAUAAAAUUUAUAUGUUUAGAACCCUGAAUGAGUUUAUUUUCAAAAGAAACAAACGAUAACAUUAUCUGAAUUCUGUACUAUGAAAUAAUUAAUUUUUAGUGAAGAAGGGUCAGACCUGUUGAGCAGUGAAACAGGGGAACUUUAAAGAAUAAACUGCACUUAUUGGCUAAGCCAAAAAUUAUAAAAAAUUUAUGGUAAUAAAAUAUGUGAGUCUAGUUUUAGGUAAAAUUAUCGGAUCUUAAUUUGGAGCUUGGUAGCUCGAGAUAUAAAUAAAUUAGUGACUCUGACUCUGACUCUGACAAACAGUUUGAAUUUACAUACAAGAAAAUAGUGAAAGUAUGGAUAAUGUUAUUUAAGUGUGUUAUACACAUUAAGGAUGUGGAAUGGAGAGUAGGAGGAGGAAAAUUGGAAAAUAUAUGAAUGAUUUGUGUAUAAUUGGCCAUAUGCUUGAUUAUGAUUGAUAAACGAUGAAAUAGAAAUAAUGCUUAUGUUUGUGCAUGAUUGGUCAUGGUUUAACCUCAUGUGGGAAAAUAAAGUUUUAUUGUAUGUGUGUAUGGUAUAUUUGGAAUAUGAUUUGGCUUGAAGUAAUGUCAUGAAUGGUUUAUGAAUUAACACAUGUUGGUAAGUUUGAUACAUGAACAAAUGUUGUUUUCAUCCAUGCUUAUAAUGCUUAUGCUAUAUGUUUAUUUGGGUUCACAUAUUUGGUGUACAUGCUUAGGCUUUGGCCAAGUUGUGGUUGGAUUAUGCCAUGUUAAAAUUAUAAGUUAUGCAUUGAGAUGGUAAGUGCCUAAAUGGAAAUAUGCUUGUGAUCAUGACAGGGGUGGUAAGGUUUAAAUUAUGUAAUCUUUAGUGAAAUGGUUUAUCAUGUGGUUAGUUCCAAAAAGAAUUAUGUUUAAAUGCAUUAACUUGCGACUAUGGUUGAAUGAUAUGUUUAUGUCUUGUGUGAUAUGUAUAGGAAACGGGUGUGGAAAGGUAAUGAAAUAGUAAGUUCAUAUUUGAAGCGAAAAAUGACGAAAAAAGGGAUGAUGAGUUUAAUUGAUGUUGUUAUUUAAGCUAAAGUGAUAUUUUCAUUGCAAAAUUGAGAAUUUCAUAAAUGUGUUAAUGAAUGAUAUAGUCGAUAAAUGUUGAGUUAAAUGGUAAAUAUGUAUUAGUAUUGAACUUACUAAUAUUGAAUUGUACGUGAAUUAAAUGGAAAUUGCUAGUGAUAGGAUUUGAAUUGUGAGCAUGAAUAAAUUGUGAAUUGAAUAAAAAGAAAUGAAGCAUUGAAUUGCAUGAGUAUGUAUCGGGUCUCGUAGGCCCUAUUUAUUAUGAUUAUAAUAUAUUGAGGAUAUAUUGUGAAGAAUUAUAAAAGUAUGUUAAUAAUUUGAAAGUUUUAAUUUAGAUGAAAUUUUAUAACUCGGUUCAGUACGUUUACAAGUGUAUGUGUUCUGGUAAUGCCUCGUACCCUAUUUUGGUGUUGAAUACGGGUAAGGGGUGUUACAAAAAAAAUAUUUACGAGUCUAAUUUACGGGAACGGAGUCCCAGGAAUGCACUUUUUUUAGUUUGAUCAUUUUUAAUUAAUUAACCAUCGAAACGUUAAAAUUUUUUAACGAAACUUUAAUACCACCUUAAUGACACUCCGUAAAUAUUUAUAAAAAUAUUUAUGGCUCAGUUUAUAAAAACAAGGUCCCUAUACCUCAUUUUCUAAAACCACUUGAACUUAAUAAAUCACUUAUAUAACAUAAAUUAUCAAAUCAAAAACUUUUUUUUAAAUCACAUUUUACUCGUAAAUACUAAAUAAUAAUAUUUACGAACUUACUUGUCGAAUUUAUUUGCCCCAAAACCACUAUUUUUGACACCAUUGAAAAAUGAGCUGUUAAACGGUAUGUCCGCAACAUAUGCAGGACCACUACCUUUUCAGGAAACAGAACCUUGUAUCCAAUCGAAUUUCAUUCAUUCAAACGUGAUUUAACAUUUAUCGGGUAUUUUCCGGAUAUAUGAUUAGAUUUCAUAUACAAAUCAUUCAAAUCAAUUCGAACAUAUAAUUACACAAUUAAGUUACACGAACUUACCUCGACAAUGUUCAUGAGUCGUAAUCUACCAAUCCGUUACUUUUCUUUACCUCGAUCUAGCUCCGUAUUUUGUCUUUUCGGAUCUAUACGAGUAAAUUAACUCAAUUUAAUACAAUUUCAUACUCAUUUCAAUCCAAUUUACAUCUUAGGAAAAAGUACCAUUUUGCCCCUAUACUUUUGAUUCAUUCCAAUUUCAUCCCUAGGCUCGAUAAAUGAAAUUCAUGCAAUUUAAUCCUUAUUCCAAGAUCAGUCAAAUUUUACAUGUAUCAAUAGCAGCCCAUGUAUUUCACAAAAAUUAGAAUUUUUCCAUGAAUUUUACUUUUUUACAAUUUAGUCCCUAAAUCACAUUUUCAUCAAAAUUCCUUUAAGAAAAGUUGUUUACCUAUCAACAACCUUUCAUUUUCUACCAUCAAAGUUCAUAAUUCAACUAUAUUCAUCCAUGGAAAAAUCCUAGAACUUUGAUAACUUUGCAAAUUAAUCCUCAAAAUAGCUUAAUUAUGCUAUUACAAUCUCAGAAACAUAAAAAUUACUAAAAACGGGACAAGAAUUCAUACCUAAUUAAGCCAAGAAAGCUUGAUUGAGAUAUUUUCUCUUAGCUAGGGUUUCCAUAAAAAAAUUUGGGAAAGGUGAUGAUAAAUGAUGAUAUUUUCUUUAUUUAAUCAUUUAUCAUCUUUUAAUAUCUUUUAUUUCCAAUUUCAUCCUUUUCUUUAAUUAAAUUUCCAUGAAUGAAUCAUCAUCCUUAUCUAUUAACUUCUCUUAAUGGUCUAUUUGUCAUAUAAGGACCUCAAACUUUGAAUUUCAUAGCUAUUUGAUACUUAUAGCUACUAGAACCCAACUUUUGCAUUUCAUGGAAUUUGGUCCUUUUAUCAAUUAAACAUGUAAUCGGUAAAAUUUUCUUAACAAAAUUUUCAUACGAUUUUCUUAUUAUAAUUUAGACCAUGAAAUAAAAUUAUAAUAAUUUUCUUUUCGUAUUCAAAUUUGUGGUCCCGAAACCACUGUUCUGAUUUCACUGAAAAUGGGUUGUUACACUAUUAAAGUGUUAGGGUUUUUCCAUGGAUGAGUACAGUUUAAUUAUGAAGUUUUAUGGUAGAAAAAUGAAAGAUUGUUGAUAGAUAAACAACUUUUCGAAAGAGAAUUUUGAUGAAAUUAUGAUUUAGGGACUGAAUUGAAAAAAUGAGAAAUUUAUGGAAAAUUUUUAAAUUUUGUUAAAUACAUGGGCUUCUAUGGAUAUGUAUGAAAAUUAAUUAGGCUUGAAAUAAGGAUUAAAUUGCAUGAAUUUCAUUUUUUGAGCUUAGAGAUAAUUGUAAUUAAUUAAAAGUAUAGGAGCAAAAUAGUAAUUUUGCCAAAGAUGUGUACUAGAUUGAAUUGAAUAUGAAUGAUAUUAAAUUGAGUUAAAUUCAUUCGUACAAAUCCGAAUAGACCUAAUACGGAGUUAGAUCGAGGAAAAGAAAAAGUAUUAGAUUAGUAGCCUACGAAAUUGUGAACAUUUGUCGAGGUAAGUUCAUGUAAUUAAAUUGUAUAUUUGUAUUAUUUGAAUUGAAUAUUGUUGUGUGUGUGAUUUUUAUAAAAAGCCAUAUAUAUUAUUGAUCACAUAUUCGACAAGUACAGAAUCCCGUUUGAACCUUAGACAUUCAAUGGAUACAAAUGAUAUGUCAUUAGGUUUCCGGAUUGGUUGUGGUCCUACAUGUGUUGCGGACACACCACAGCUCUUAUGAGCAUCCCGAUAUUUGGCUCUCACGAGCUUCCGAUUAAUGGCUCUUAUGAGCUUCCCGAUAUACAGCUCGAUUGAGCUUCCUGUUAUACAGCUCACAUGAGCUUCUCGUUACAUGGCUCAAAAGAGUUUCCCGUGUACAUGCUCGUAUAAGCAUACCUGUAUAUGAAUUGAUGGAUUACAUAUUUGUACACCUCGUUUGUAUUACCCGUGUAUCCAAUGAUAUUUUAAAUGGUUCAACGGGCUAAGUUUUGAUUUGAGAUAAUAUAAGUUUGAAACGAACUAUUACCCAUGUAUACAUGAAGUACAUAGAAAUGAUAUUACUUGAUAUACUGAAGCAUGAAAUGAUUGUUACAUGUAUGUGAAACUUGCUUGAUGACUUUGUUCAUCCAUGAUGAUGGGCUAUUAUAUGUGUUUAGGCUUUUGUCCAAGUUGAUUUGAAAUAUGUUUUGUAUGCUUACCUUAAAUGUAAUUGAAUGGUAAGUUAAGUUGUUAUACGAACUUACUAAGCGUAAAUGCUUACUCUAUUUUAUUUUCCCUGUUUUAUAGUAACUUGGAAGCUCGUUUUGGUUGGAAGUUGGUCAGAGGUGAUUCGCACUAUCCAUAGGCCUUUUUGGUACAUAUAGUAAACUAAUUUUGGUUAUAAUGGCAUGUAUAAGUUAAUUUGGCCAAUGUUGGCAUAAAAUUAUCUUGUUUAGACUAGCCAUUAGAGUGGCUUGUGUUUGAUAUAUUUUGAGAUGUAUAUAUAUGGCCUUAUCAUGAUUAAUGUGUGUUUGGUAUGGUUGAGUGAUGAAUAAUUUAUAGGCAUAUUGAAGAUUGGUUUGAGAUAGUAUGUUUGGUACAAAUUUGCAUAUAUGUGUAUUUUGUUAAUUUGGUAAGUUUGGAUACUUGGAUAUAUGUGUUGAAAUGUCAUGUAUAAAACUUGAUUUUGGCUUGAUUUGAAUGUCUUGUUAUGGUUUGUUGAUGUCAAAAAAUGUUGAGAUGGGUUGAUGACAAAUUGGGUGAGAAAUGUGGCUUGAAAAUGACUUAUUUUUGUCCACACGGGCAGAGACACAGGCGUGUGUCUCAGCCGUGUCAGGUGACACGGUCGUGUGUCCCCUGUAUCUUUUAAAUUUUGCAAGUCAGUAUGCUCACACGGCCUAGCACACAAGCGUGUGGUUUGGUCGUGUGACCUCAGUCAGAGAGUUACAAGGGCACGGACACGGCUGUGUGUCCCUAUUUCGAAUGCCUACACGGCCUGAGACACGGAUGUGUCUCUUGACCGUGUAAACGACACGGCUUAGCCACACGGACGUGUGUCCCCUGUACCUUUGAAAAAUUUUAAUAUUUUUCAAAAAAUUCUUUGAAUACCCGAAUUAGUCCUGACUUGUUUCUAAUGUAUGUUUUGGGCCUCGAGGGCUCACAUAAGGGAACAUUAUGCUUGAUUUCGAUUGGUUUUUGAUAUGAAUGCUAUAUGAUAUGAAAUAUCUAUUUAUUUGUUCUGUAAAUUUCGGUAAUGCUCUGUAACCCUGUUCCGGCGACGGAUACGGGUUAGGGGUGUUACAGAAUAGGCCAAGUAUGGGAGAUGAUUCAUCAAAGAAUGGUUUGGAAUAUUCAAACGGUGAAAAUUUUAAUUUUUGGAGGGAUGCAUGGAUGGUUGAUGUAACAGCCAGAUUUUUAGUGAUGUCAGAAAUAGUGGUUCGAGGCCCCUAAAUCUGCGAGUAAGUUUGUAAAUAUUAUUAUUUAAUAUUUACGAGUCAAAUAUGAUUUUUAAUAAAAAAGAUGCAUUCUCAAGACUUCGUUCCGGUAAAUCAGAUUCGUAAAUAUUUUUAAUAAAUAUGUACAAAGCUAGCUGUGUAGUUAAUUAUGUUUUGAUUAGGUGAGUUUGACUUAAUUAAGGUUAAUUAGAUAAAAGGACUAAAUUAAAUUGAUUGUGAAAGUUUAAUUAUGAAAUAAAAAAAUCAAGGGACUAAAUUAGUAAAUAAACCAAAAAUGUGACACUUGUGUGGUAAUAAUAAAAUACAUGUGUAAUAAAAUAUAUACAUACAUUUGUAAUAAUAUGUAUAAUUUACUUAUUAUUUAAGUAUAAGAUAUUUUAGAUUAAAAUAUUUUUAUAUUAUAUUAUUAUAUUACAUUAAUUAAUCAAAACAAAAUAAAGAAAUGAAAUAAAAAGAACAAAGGAAAGAAACAGAGAAGCAAAACGAAAACAGGGGAGAAAGGAAAGAAAAAGAAAAAAAGGGAAUGAAAGAAAGAAAAUUUGGGAUUUUAAGGUUCAAGGUUUGGUUGGUAAGCUAAUUUAGUCUAUUUUUUUAUAAUUUUGAUGUUUUUGGAAUCCCAGAACAAAAUACUAUUUGAUUUAAGUUGAAAAUUUGAAAGUUAGUAAAUUUUUAGAUGUUGUUCAUGUUGAAUUAAUUGAUGAAUUAGGGGUUAAAUUGAUUGAAUUUUUUAAAUUAGUUUAAAGUGGGAAUGGAAUGAAAAUAUGAAAUUAGUUUUCAGAAUAAAAGUUAGUCUUGGUUCAGCGACUAAAUUGGAAUUUUGACAAAUAUUGAGUAAAUAUUAAAAUAUUUAAUGUGAGAUUGAAUGGUGUUGUAUUGAUAUUUUUAAUUGUUUUAAUUCCGUAGCUUGCGACGUACUGGAAUUCUCGACUAAAAGGGGAAAAAAUAUAGUCGACGAGGAAUAAUUCAGAAAUCUUGUUUUGUAUUUCUAUAAUCCGAAUCUAAUUAUUAAUUGUUGUAUUUUGAUUAAAUGUUAUAGUAAGUGAUUGAGGUGAGAAUUAUUGUGGUUUACAAUUGAAAUGGAUUGUCUUGGUAUGUAAUGAAAUUAUAUUGGUUGAAUUGAAUUUGAAUAUAUAUAUUAUGAAUAUAUAUGUGUAAAUGUGAAAUUGUGCAAAUAUGAUAAUUGGAUUAUUAUAUAUAUAUAAAAUUCAGUUUUAAUGCCCAAGUAGACGGAAUUUAGAACUACUGGGAUAUUAGUGGCAUGUCAUUAAAGAACUUUAGCGCACUCUCUUAUUAUUAGCACGUUGGUGCUCUCUGAUUACUAGCACGACAGUGCUUUCCGUUUAGCACAUCUGUGCUCUCUGUUCAUUAGUGCAUAAUAAUGCACCUCUGUAUUUGUUCCGUAUAUCCGGUGUGUUCUAUAAAAUCUACUUUGGGAUAAGAAUAUGAGAUAGUAAACUGAAAAUAGAAUGUGAAAUAUGUUUUAAACACAUGGAAGACACGAGUUAUAUAUUCAUAAAUUGAUUGUGGAAUGGAUAGUGCCAUUGUUUAAAUGAUACGUGAAUAAAUGAUGGAAAUGUAUUACAUAUAGCAAGUGAUGACAAUUGAGUAUUGUGUGAUUUUAAAUGUUCAAUUGUGUUUAACAUUUUAUUAUACAUAUUUUAUUGUUUUAUUUUUUUAAAAAAAUUUGGAUUAUAGAAAUACCACUGAGUUUUUACUCAGCGUACGGUUUUGUUUUCCGUGCGCAGGUUAAGUACUUAAGUUUGAUCGCUGAUUCAGCAUCCAACAAUGAUCCCGAACUCAAAUAUGGUGAUGUUUAUUUCUUUGUGUCGGCAUGUACCUAGAGUGUCUAAAUAUUAGUUAUUUUGUAGUUUGAUUGUAAAUGAAGUUAUAAGAUCUAUUUUGGAGAGUUUAUAAUUUGGAUUAAAAUGAUGCUUUAAUGACUUGUUUUGAUGAUAUAAAAUAUUUGAGAUUUCUAUCUGUUUGAUCUAUAAUCUCCGGUAAUGUUCCAUAACCCAAUUCCGACGAGGGAUACAGGUUGAGGGUGUUACAGUUGACAUUAGACCACUAAUUGAUUAAUUGGGUUGAUAAGAGGAAUAGUGCCAGAAUCAUAUAUGGGUCAGUGGCUUCAAUGGUUACACCAAAUGGUGAUUGAAAUUGGAGUUUAUUGGAAAAUGCUUUACCAUGUAAUAUUUUGCUUAAAUUAGCAAUAAUGCUUUCGCCGGACAAGGGGGCAAUGUAGAUUAUUUGGCUUGGAGAUAGGAUGCUAAUAGGAGAUUCACUAUCAAAUUGACCUACUCAAUGGCGUCAAAUAAUUUAAUGGAAGGGUGCAAGAAUGGUGGAAACCAGUAUGGCAUUUCAGAGAACCCUAAAGAAUUCGAAUUUUCUUAUGAUUAAUGUGCUUGAAUAAAUUGUUAACAAACAAUGAAAAGAAGAAAAAGCAUAUGAUCAUUCAGGUGUGAUGUGUGCAAAAUCAAUUUAUUUUCUAAUAUAAUAUUAGAUAUAGAUGCAAUAUCUAUAAAAGAAACUAUAUAUUAAAUUUUAUGUUCAUAUAAAAAAUAAAUAUGAUAAGAACAUAGACCUAAAAAUUAAUAUAUAAUAAAUUAUAAAACAAUUUACUACAUUUAUUAUUAGUAUUUAACAACAAUGAAGGUAAAAAGAAAUUACUUAAUUAAUCUCUCGUACUAAUAGCAUCCUUGAAUUUAGUGCGUCGUGAUUAUGGGACAAAUCCAUCCAUCUUGGAUUGGAUAACCCCCCCCCCCCAACACAUCAACAAAAUUUGUUGGAAAAAGAUAAAAUGAAAAGUGGGCAUGGCAUGCAGUGCACGUGAUAUUUAAAAUGUUAAAUUUACUAACGUGGCGUAUAUUUAAACUAGAUCUCACGGUUAUCAACUCACCUCGUUUUCGCUUCCUACCAUUUUUAUUACAUUUUCACGAAUCUGUAAUUUUAACUAAUUUUCCUCCAUCUUCUUCAAUGAUUAUGUAAAAGCCUGCAAAAUCUCAGUUGUCCAGUACAAUGGCUACCCUCUCCUUUUCUCCCCUCAAACCAAACACGUUAUUUUCUUCUUUUCUGUUCCCUUCUAAAAACUUAUCCUCCCGACCAAUUAUCUAUACUCUUCCUCAUCGAAACACUCCUCCACUCACUUUCUCUGCUGCCAAACGCCCUCCCGCCGCAUCCGCAACCAAUUCAUCCUCUUCCGUUACCGUCGAAACCGUCUCUCCUGAAAAUGACGCCAACUCAACCGUUUUCGUCAUCCGUGCGCGUAACCGUACCGGUCUCCUCCAAGUUAUCACGCGCGUCUUCAAUAUCCUCGGUCUUAGCGUCGAGAAGGCCACCGUAGAUUUUGAAGAAGACUAUUUUGUCAUGACGUUCUUCGUAACCGAUUCCCGCGGCAACAAGAUCGAUGAUCAGAAGAGCUUGGAAAGUAUCAACAAGGCCUUGAUCGACGCAAUCGACGGUGACGAUGAUGCCGCCUUGUCUGUGGCUCCGCCAGAUAGAGGGGUCGUGGUAAGGAAGCCUCGGUUGGAUUUUGGGGAGAGGAAAGGCCAAGCUGAAAGGAUGCUUGGAUUGAUGGAUGUUUUCUUGAAGAACGACCCGAUCAGCUUACAAAAGGAUAUUUUACAUCACGUUGAGUACACGGUGGCUCGAUCGCGAUUUAGUUUCGAUGAUUUUGAAGCUUAUCAAGUAAGAUUAAAGUUUCGUUGUUGGGUUGAGAACGAAUUUUGACUUCCUUUUUAAAAAUUUGGCGGGAAUGUAUGGUAUAACUUAAGUGCGAUUGUUUAACAGGCUUUGGCGCACAGCGUAAGAGAUCGGUUGAUUGAACGUUGGCAUGAUACUCUGAUACAUUUCAAGAAGGAAGACCCAAAGCGAGUUUACUUUCUUUCGCUUGAGUUUCUUAUGGGUAUACUUUCUUACCGUUAUGAGCCUUAUAAUGUUUGGUCUAAUUAAAAUGAUGGAUAAGUUUAAGAGCUCUCGAGAAGUUUGGUUAUGCUUUCUGUUACUCUCCUAGCACCUAUAGUUUAUCAAAUCUAGAGGAUCUGACUUUGGUUUCUAUUACAAGUAGAACUAGUUUUUGAAUUCACAUGUUAUUCUGGAUUUUCUUCAGUGCUUUAAAUAUCAUUCAUGCUAAACAACUGUAUGCAAUUUAUAUUUUCAGGGCGUUCGUUGUCAAAUAUUGUCAUCAACCUUGGAAUUCGCGACCAAUUUGCAGAUGCUUUAAGCCAGCUUGGUUUUGAUUUUGAAGUUUUAGCUGAACAGGUUAACUUGACAUUCGAUUUUCUUCUGUCCUCCUUUAUUGUCCUAAUCUUAGAUUAUUAUUAUUAGCAUAUCACGAUCCGGAAAAGUAAUUGUUUGUUUGCGAGGAGAAUUGAAUACAUCAAGUAUAUUUAUUGGAGAUCAUGUUGUGUGGUAGUCGGAGAUUUGAAACUAGGUGAAUCCAAUGGAUGGCCAUAUUCUUGGGAACCUAGAGCCACAAAACUGUAUGAUGUUAAGGUGUGCUCGUCCUUUCGAAACAGCCUCUCCUUGGAAUUAGAGCUCGAGGGAGAUCUCUGUUUGAACAAGUUAAAACUGAAUUCUUAAUCAUGUUGGAAGAAAGCUUUUCUUAUAUAUAUAUUGUACACUCAGAUAAUUAUUUACUUUCCUCUUUAUCUUAUUCAUUAUGAUAUUCUAAGGAAGGAGAUGCUUGCCUGGGUAAUGGAGGCCUUGCUCGUCUUUCAGCAUGUCAAAUGGAUUCUCUAGCAACUUUGGACUACCCUGCAGUGGGGUAUGCCUCUAUUCUAUAUUUUUCUUGUAAGAUUUGUGGAAGCAUUUCAAGUUAAAAGUAAUACAUAUAAGUCUUCCAUUAAGUAGGGGUACUGAAUCAUUAUCCAUACUGGCUUUGAAACCAAAAUGGAUUAUGGACCGUGAAGUUGACUGCUUAUCUUCUAAUUAGUAUUAGCUUAUUUAUAAUCUAUGCUAGUUUUCCUUUUUCAAAAUCAUUUAGCGAAUUCUUGCAUCAAAAUCAUGUCAUUUAGUUCAUGCAUAACUUGUAUAUCCUCAAACGAGUAUUGGCUUUUAUGUUUAAUAAUCUAAUUCUAGGGGAUUGUUUCUGCAGCUAUGGAUUACGCUACCAGUAUGGGUUGUUCCGUCAAGUUAUAGUGGAUGGAUUUCAACAUGAACAGCCUGAUUAUUGGUUAAAUUUUGGAAACCCUUGGGAGAUUGAGCGAGUUCACAUAACAUAUCCUGUAAAGGUUUGUAAGCACUUAGAUGUGUUCAAUUAUCUGUGGGAAUAUUGGAUGUUUGACUUUAUCUUUCUAUUCUUUUGCAAUUCUGUAUUGUUUACUAAACUUCUGUUCACUAUGUUUUUGGAUGGUAAAGUUCUAUGGGACGGUCACAGAUGAAUUUUUGAAUGGAGAGAAAUGUAAAGUUUGGGUUCCUGGAGAAAUGGUAAGGCUGUAAUUCUUUUCAUAAAUUGAAGCCUAGACAUUUGCAUAAAACUCUUUAUCCAUUAUUUAUACUCAUGGGCGAUGCAUGAUUUAAAUGAGUGCUAAAUUUAAGUGAAUGUGGUUGGCUUUUUUUAGCUUAGCAAUAUCUUCAUAUUCGUAGGUUGAAGCUGUGGCAUAUGACAAUCCAAUACCUGGUUAUGGAACAAGGAAUACCAUUAAUCUUCGCCUUUGGGCUGCGAAACCAAGUGAUCAACAUGAUAUGGUAAUUUCGACAAAGUCCAAUCAGUUAUGCAUGAGUUCUAUGCACACUUAGGUGGAUUAAACUAAAGUACGAAGAUCUGGCACAUAAAACUAAUUCUUAUGAUCUAGAUUCGCUAGAAAUGCUAUAGUUGGACUGAGCUAACAAUGCUGAUUUGGUAGCUUAAAACAUAGUCAUAUAUGCAAUCAUGUGUUUUUUUCUGUACGGAUCUCUUCUAUAUCCUACCCAUCAAGCUCUGCUUAGACAGCGAGGGAUUUGGAAAUCUUUUUGAAUAAUUUCUUUCAAUUGUUUUGGCUUAAUUGUUUUGAAACAUGCUUAAUCCAACUGAAGUGAUAUCAGUUAUUUGCUGUUUCAAUGUGCUUGUUUCUUUUAUCUUUCUUUUCUUUUUUUUUUCUUUAUUUCACUAUUUGCAUUUUGGAGAAUUAUAUUUUGGUGAGAGCUUAUGUUAGUAAGGUUAGCAUCUAUCCUGUCUUGUAUAGUCUUUGAGGCAGGUAUUUGAUGUCGGUUCUAGAAAGAUUUGUUAAUUAGUAAGAAUUUUGUAUAUUUCAGGUAUUUUGUUACUUUUAGUUUUAGAGACUUUAAUUUUUUGUAGGUGUUAUUUUGGAAAAUUCUUUAAGAUUCUGAUUUUUGGUUUUGUAUGAUAUUUAUUGCCAUACAUGCUUAUGGAUUCUUGUUAGUAUGCGACCUUGUUAUGUCUCAAAUUCUUGGGUUUGGAGCAUGGCAAUGCAGGAGUCUUUUAACACUGGGGAUUAUGUUGAUGCUGUAGUCAAUAGACAGAGGGCAGAAAGUAUUAGUAGCAUACUAUACCCCGACGAUCGUUCUUAUCAGGUGUGAUUGCUUUUCCUUAACUUGAUUGGUUACAUCAAGAUUAGAGUCUGCCUCAUCAAUUUUUUCAUGCUUCGUCUUCUAAAGUUUUUACUGCAAUUGUUUGAUUUAUGGGAAAUUAAAGGUACUUAGUCGGAGAUUAUUAAUGUUGCAUUCACUGAAAACUUGGUUGAAAUGUUUGCUAGGGGUUGAACAAAUAUGUUUCUUUGUCUUUCUGUAGAUCUACAUUCAUAUUUCUUUUUGGUGGUUUCUUUCAGGGUAAAGAAUUGCGGUUGAAACAGCAAUAUUUCUUUGUAUCCGCGUCAGUACAAGACAUCUUCAGAAGAUUCAAAGACACUCAUAAAAAAUUUGAUGAGUUUCCAGAGAAGGUUCUUAGCUGCAUGUUUCAUGUGUCUAUUAGUGCAGAAGCAUAUGUAGAGACACCUCAAAUCGGAUUAGUUUGUACUGAUCUGAUCAUGUAGUGAGGUGACAUGCCUUGGUUCUACCCUCCUGAAUCUUGUGUAACAUAGCUGUUCUCAAGGUUCUCUCAGGUUCUCAAUGUCACAUCCUUAACAAUUGAUUUGCUUUCAGAUGAUGGCAGUUGUGAGAUUUGAGUGAGGAAUCUUUCUCUAUACUGAGAAGGAUUUCUUUCCACUUUUAUUAUCAUCCCUAGGUUGAGUGCUGACUGCUGCUUGACUCCUGUUCUGUCAACUCCAAUUGCAUUUUAUAUAGGUUGCACUGCAGCUGAAUGACACUCAUCCAUCUCUUGCAAUAGCUGAGGUGAUGAGAGUGCUUCUGGAUGAAGAGCAUUUAAGCUGGCAUAGAGCAUGGGACAUCAUAUGCAAAAUAUUUUCGUUCACAACUCAUACUGUAUCACCUGAAGGACUGGAGAAAAUUCCUGUGGAUCUACUGGGCAACCUUCUCCCUCGACAUUUGCAGGUGUGUUUUGUUUGAAUUUUGCAAUGUACUUUCUUCUUUGAUAAAGUUUACCCGUUUCUUUGAAUUACUUUAUGUGAUUGAAAGCCUAAGUAAUUCUACUGGACAAGAUUCAUCUUACAAUAUUCUUUCAUUUAUAUCUGAUGUCAUAUGGUAUAAGCUUCAUCUUAAUAAUUUUCUUAACUACAGCAUCGUGCCUCCAAGGUACAGAAGCAUGCAUGUGGUUAAUUAUUAUUUUCCGCAUAACUCUUUCCUGUAUUACCACACUCCUUUAGAUUGUAAUUUAUUAGUUUGAUUGGUUGUCAACUUGUUUCGUACUAUUUUAGAAAAUUGCUCUUUUCAGAUUAUAUAUGACAUAAACUUCAACUUUGUGGAAGAGUUAAAGAAGAUGAUUGGUUUAGAUUAUGAUCGGCUGACCAGGAUGUCAAUUGUUGAGGAAGGUGCUGUGAAGGUAUAUAUCUCAAAUUUUAUGGGUUUCUAAAAUUUAUAUUGUGUUGAUGGAUUGCUAGAAUGUUAUGAAAAUUGAAGUCCAUAACCAUCCCUUUUGUCAGAAUAUUCGAAUGGCAAAUCUAUCAGUUAUUUGUUCUCAUACCGUGAAUGGUGUCUCCAGAUUACAUUCAGAGUUGUUGAGAACAAAAUUAUUCAAGGUAAAACUUAUAUUUGUUUUUUCCUGCUUAAACGUUGCCUUUCCUUGUAACAAGUUUGAAAUAGAACUCAGCUUCGAUGAAUGUCUUUAAUUAGUUGAUCUUAGUUGUUGUCUAUUAAUGCUUUUCAGGACUUUUAUGACCUAUGGCCGCACAAGUUUCAAUACAAAACUAAUGGGGUGACACAGGUUUAAAAUAAGUAACAGUUUUUUCAGUACAUUAACUUACUGAUAGGUUAAGUUGUUUCCUACCUGUAAAUAAAUUUUAGACUUGUUACUGUGAUGCUGUGAUGCAUCUUGCCCUGAUAACUAAAAGUACGCGAAUAAUUUAAAUUCACCUGCUGUGUAGUUAUUUUGAUCUCUUAAUAUUUGGUUUCUCAGCGUCGCUGGAUUGUUGUUAGCAAUCCUAGUUUAUGCGCUCUUAUCUCAAAAUGGCUUGGAACAGAAGCUUGGAUCCGUGAUAUUGACCUUUUAAUAGGCUUGAGAGACUAUGCAACUAAUGCUGAAUUGCAUCAAGAAUGGAAGAUGGUACUUUCAUAGUUGGCAUGCUUCACCUUUGAAACAAAACAUAUCAUUGGCUAUCUCAUUCAUUUAUUGUUAACUAUUAUCUCAUAGGUUAAGAAGGUCAACAAAAUAAGGCUUGCCGAGUACAUUGAAGCGAUGAGUGGUUUGAAGGUUUUGAAGAAAGCUAUAGUUUUUGCACCUACAUUUCUUUUUCCAUUUUUAAGGAGCUCUGAAAUGAUGUAAUGUUGGUGUGCAUUAUUUGUAAUGGGCAGGUCAGCUUGGAUGCAAUGUUUGAUGUGCAGACAAAGCGAAUACAUGAAUAUAAGCGGCAGUUGCUUAAUAUACUUGGCAUUAUCCAUAGAUAUGAUUGCAUCAAGGUUAACACCAUCUUUGGCUGAAAGAGCCAUGAAAACUUGUGGAAUUUAUCAAAUGCUUCUUUUUAUAUGCGCCUUUUUGAAUUGUCCGUGUAGCAAACUAACAACAUAGGUUUAAGUUAUUACCAUCCUGUUGCUGGAUGUUUGCAAGACCAACAAUUCCUUACUCAUUGUAAUAUGAGUUGAUUAACCAUUUCCUUAACCAUCAUCUUUUUGGCUUUGCAUAAAGAUGUUUAAGUAUUAGAAAUUGUACAUAUUUUCGAACAUUGUAAAAUAAGUUAAAAGAAUGUGUAACUCAGAGGUAUCUUUGCUCAUGCUAUUCUCAUUUGGUGCAGAAUAUGGACAAGAAUGAUAGGAAAAAUGUUGUACCACGGGUCUGCAUAAUUGGAGGAAAAGCUGCUCCAGGAUAUGAAAUUGCAAAGAAGAUUAUAAAACUCUGUCAUGUUGUGGCUGAAAGAAUCAACAAUGAUAAUGAUAUUGGAGAUCUUUUAAAGUUGGUAAGCUAGUAUUUAUUUUAUCUAGAAGUUCAAUGGAACUCUGAAGCGUGUAUUGUUUACUCAGAAGGGUGAGUAAUUUACCCUUAAAACAGAUAUAAUCAGCAACCAUGAUGAUGAAUUAAAGCUGCAAGGACCUUUAUAUUUGUCUUCUAAUAACAAAUCUGUCUUUCUAAGUCAUUAAGUAUUAUUGCAGGUCUUUAUCCCUGAUUACAAUGUUUCUGUUGCUGAGAUGGUAAUACCAGGGGCUGACCUUUCUCAACAUCUAAGGUAGUAUGCAUAAGUUUUGCACAUUAGAUGAUAUUAUCAAUUUCGUUAGCAGUUACAUUAUGUUUUGUAGUGAUUGCUGAUUGGGAUUUUUCUGUGGUCAACUAUUGGCUUCACUUAUAUAGAUAGAUCUAUUUGUCACUCUAAAGUUGUAUGCCUCCAUUUUACCAUUAAUUUGGGUCGAAAUAUUUUGGAAUCUUUUAGUAUUAAUUGUCAUUAAGCUUAUGUAUGAGCAGUUCAGAAUCACUAGGUUGAUGGAAUAAUAUAAUAUAAUAUAAUAUCCAGGUGAUUAAUUGGGGCAGAAUUAGUCUCUCCACAUUCUGAGCCCCGUUUUCCAGAAUUAAAAAAAAAAAAACCUGCUUCCACUCAACUUGUCUACUUCUGAUGUAUACUUCUUUUACUUUCUGAUCCAGCACUGCAGGACAUGAGGCAUCAGGAACUGGCAGCAUGAAAUUCUUGAUGAACGGAUGUUUACUUUUAGCCACAGCAGACGGUUCUACAAUUGAAAUGGUUGAAGAAAUAGGUCAGGAUAACAUGGUAAGUGCUAAAUCAACAGUCAUACAAAUGAAUCAAGGUAAAAGUACCAUGAAGUCCUCUAUAUUAGGAGUCAGAUUGUAUUUUACCUCCUCUACUCAAGAAAUGAGCAAAUUAGUCACUCUACAUUAGAUCAAAGAGCAAACUGGUCCUUUUAUAGAAAAUUUCAUCCAUUUUUGCUGUUAAAAGUUGGUCUCUGUACGUUAGCAUGAGGUACACAUGGCAUGUCACAUGUCACUGUCUAGUUAUUUCAUCAAUCAUGCCAGUUUUUAAUAGUACAAAAGAAUGAAAUUUUUAAUAGAAAGGACCAAUUUGCUCUUUAAUCUAAUGUAUAGGGACUGGUUUGCCUAUUUUUUUAGUAGAGGAGGCGAAAUGCAAUCCAACUCUUAGUACAAGAGCCUCCAUGGUACUUUUACAAUGAAUUAACAAUAUUAGUUGGAGUAGAUUUUGAUAACAUUUCUUUCAGUUCCUGUUUGGAGCAAAAGCGCAUGAAGUUGUUGCAUUGCGCAAGAAAGGACCCACUCUUAAAGUUCCUCUUCAGUUUUCGCGUGUUGUAAGGUAUUAUACCCCUUCAUUCUACGUAAUGUAUAGCUUUAUCAGUACGUUGCAUCUUAGUUUCUCUGUAAAGGAGAGUAUAUGUAUCCUUGCUUUUCUUAUACAGAGGUAGAGUUGAUUUAGAUAUUAUUGGUUUAAAUUUCAAGUGAUUUGAGUGGCAUUGUGUAACUAUUAUAUGUAGGAUGAUCCGAGAUGGUCAUUUUGGAUUUGAAGACUAUUUCAAAUCUUUGUGCGACAAGAUAGAGGGCACGAGUGACUAUUUUCUUCUUGGUGCCGAUUUUAUGAGCUAUCUAGAGGCCCAGGUAAAUAGUUGGUUUUCCAUCAGUUAGAAAUAAGAAUGCCUUGUAAAAGGGAAUUGCAUUUUAAUUGUGGACUGUGUUGAGAUGAACAGGCAGCCGCCGAUAAAGCGUUCGUUGAUGAAGAGAGAUGGACAAAAAUGAGUAUACUUAGCGCAGCUGGCUCUGGGAGAUUUAGCAGUGAUAGGACAAUCCAAGAGUAUGCUGAAAACACUUGGGACAUUCAACCUUGCAGAUGUCCCUUUUGAUUUGGGAAGUGAGAGCUACUCGAAAUAGAAUGAAGCUCUCGCAAUGUCAUGUGCGGGGCUUCUCUAUUUAUUAAUAAAAUAAAACGAAUUGAAUCGAAUAAAAUUACAAUGAAUAAUAACAAUGUUUCUAAAACUAAUAAUAGAAAAUAAUCAAAGCAUUCAAAAAUAUUUGAGUUGGAGCUUGACAUAAAUAUUGUUGUUGAUAGGACCUUAUAAAUGUUUAUUUAAAAAAAUUCAGACGGAAACCUAUUGCAAACUUUUUUGCCCAUUUCAAACAAUUUUGAUUUUGGACGAAUUAUAAUAAUUUCUUCUCUUUUCCUUUACCAGAAAGAUAUACCUUGUCUUUUUCGUAAAUAGAAUUAACUUUAUUCAACUGAUUUUUGUUUGGUUGUUCAUACUUCAUGAAAUAACAAUUUUCUCCUGGAUUCUACAAGCUUCGAUUACCCGCCACUAUUUCUGUUUACUUCUUCCGAGAAGAAAAAAGGAGGAAAGAUAGAAAAAAAAAAAAAGGUUGUUUAGAAGAGGCAGUAAUGGCGGUUAAUAUGAUUCUCCUUCCCUCCAUUUUCAGUUUUUUCUUCUUCCUCUUCUUCUUCUUCUUCUUCUUGUCACUCACAUCUCAAGAUGAACAAAGUAACAACCACAAUCUCUUGAUCCUUGAAUUGCGCGACUCCAAGCUCAAGAUCUCUCGUUUGGGUAAAAUUUCUUUUUUAUUUCUUCAUUGAUAAAUAAAUACCUUACUUAGAGUUUCCAAACAAACACUGAUCUUAACCUCGAUUCCUUGACUAUUGUAAAAUAUGGAUGCAGAAUCUGUUCUUGAAGAAAGAAUUCAAAACCUUAAUGCUAAAACCCUUUCUGUUAAGGAACACGGGAAAUCCCUCGAGGACAUGGCAAACAAGAGCACUUAUCUGCAGUCUGCUCUAUUUGAUCUUAAGGUUCAAUUCUUUCCUAAGAAGCUUUGCUUUUGUUUUUAGCUUUGUUUUCAUUUGUAUGUUACUCGGGUUUAUUUGGAUUGAAUGUCUUCUCCCUAUUGAUGUCUCAAAAUGAAAAAAAAAAAGGGGGGGGGGCUGCUUUUGAAAGCAGAAAAUUGAAUUGUGGUACGGUUUAUUCACUUAGUAAUCUUGUUCCAAAAAUACAUAGCAUAUUGACAUGUGAUUUUGCAAUUUCUAAAUGUAUAUAGCAUAUUGACAUGUUAUUUUGCAAUUUCUAAAUUGUAGGAUUAUUCAUUUCUUGCUGAUGAAAAAAGCUUAACGCUCUGGAAGAGGAGGUUCGUUUUAAAUGCUUCUAUAAAUAUAAUCGCUCUUUCAAACUUUUUUUCGUCCUAUUUGAUUCCUUGUCAUGUUUGUACGGGUGAGUGGCAAGAAAUAUUUGCUUUAGUGCAAUUCAACUUAGUACCAGGCUUCAUGAUCCUAGGUACACGGCCUUUGGGCUGUUUCGAGAAAGAACAAUUUUGAUCUUCAUGUUUUAGAGUUGAAAGCACAGGACGCCGAGGAUAGACUGGAAGCUGUUACUUCAUAAGUUGGAAAGGUUAGCAUUUACAUUCGUUAAUUUUGUUUCUGUAUAGAGACUCUGCUUGUAAAUGAUGAGGGCUUCGUCUUUGUUUUUUUUUUUUUUGGGGUACUAUUAUAAUAUGAGGUGAACCCUAAACCCUGGGGUGUCAACAAGAGAGCAUCAAUCACUGCUCCAAGGGGAUGUUGGUGAGGGGUUUUUCUUGUUUGUCAUACACCAUGACCAUCUAAUGCUGAAUGACUAAGCAUUUCUUCAUAUUAUAACGUUAUAUAAUCUAUAAUAAACUUUAAUGCCUCGUUUAGUUAUCUAGUGUAUUAACACAAGGAAAAGCUUACUACAUAAGUAUUAAAGUAGUUUGUCAUAACAUAUAGUGUAUAUUUAAACUUGAAAUUAGAAAGAUAAGUAGAACUCUAGUAAAAAAUAGGACCUCUUCAAAAUAAGAAAAAAAAAUUCUUUCUCAUUGCUCAAAACAAGUUGUGCUAGUGGUUAAAAAUUACCAUCUGAAGUUAGUUAGUUUGUAACUCAUGUACUAAGACAUGAAGAAAUAAUAUUCCUACCGAACGUAGCAUAAGAGUUUCAUCAAUAACUGCAAGAAUGCUUUAAGCACCUAUUUGCUGCUGUUCCAAUUAUUGAAGUUUGUGUUGCCUCAUUUCUAGAUUUAAAUAUCCUUGUUGGGUUGGGAGAGGUUUUGUUGGGUUGGUCAUCAGGUAUUAUGCUUUAGGUACCAGUCACUGGCUCAACGCUAAGCUGUAUUUCUUUAAAUGGAAGAGAAAUAUUAUAUCCUCAUAUUCUUUCUAAGUUGUUAAUGAAAAUGACCAUAUUUUAUCAGAACUCUUUCUUGGUUAUUUGAACUUUCUUUUGAUUGUUGAUGUGUAAAAGGCUUGAAAACUUGUUUAUUCCCUAUUGGUUUUAUUAUCUCUUGAUAUAACUAAUAUUGAAAUAAUUUGUAUUUUACUCACUCAAAGUUCCAUUCCCUUGCAUUUAGAUGGCAGAAGUUGUUACAGAACAAUGGGUUCAAAUUCAACAUCUUGAGCAGGCACUUCAAAUUGCUAAAGUAUGGUCUUAGGCCCUAAUGAUAUCAGUUAUUUGUUAAACUCAGGGAAAUUUGAAAGAAAAUGAAGAUAAAGGUUUUUCUCAUUAUAAUUAUCCUUUAUUUGCAUCAUUUCUUUGUGUUACAGAUGAGGGCAUUGCAAGCUCAAAAGCAAAGGAAUAUGAGAUGCACAUUCUUGAAGGUAAGAUAAUAAGUUGACAGUCUUUCAGACCUCUUCUUUUCCUCAGUCUCUGUCCCUUUAAAUUACUGUAAAUUUUAUCUUUGUAUAUCAAAGCAUCAGCAACAGUUAUAACUUUUAUAGUUCCUUUUAGUUAAGGAAAAAAUACUUUGUCAUAUGCUCGUGUUUCAUGUUAGUCAUAAGAUAAUCUAAUCUUGUAUGUGAAUAGUUCAUAGAUGGCAUUUCUGGAAGACAUCUCCCGAAGCCGUUCAAGGCCUUGGAUUCUUAUUCAUUGGGAAAAGGACCUAUCAUAAGAUACUACGUGUCUUAAGCUCUGCAACAAUUGAAAAGAUUUUACUCAGCAAUUAGAAGGUUUCACCCUGAGGUAUGUUUGAUACUGCAUGACUUUCUAGAUUCUUGUCUGAAAAAUAAUGGUGUCACUCUUGAAGGUCUUCACAUGUCAAAACUUACUUGACAUUACCUUUGUGAAGUUUCCAUUAAAAAAAAGUGGUCAAGAAACAUUUGAAUUUCAGUAUUGCGCUUGCCUCUAUCAACACCUCUUCCACUCUCCUUAGCAAUUUGACACAGAAGACUGUAAGAUAUAAUGGCUUCAAGAUUGCAGAAUCUCUUUCUUUUACUAAGUUCUGAAACUUAUUAUGGAAACUUUUGGUCUUUUCCAGCCUAAAAAAUGGAAAAUCGGUGGGUUGAUUGGUCAUGUAAAUAAGACCGAGUAUUCGUGGAAUUAUAGUUCUAUCAGCCAAGAAGAGUAUAUUAUGAACCUUAAACUAUGUACCUACAUAGACUUUGAACCUUAAUUGGCCCGUUAUCAGAUGUGAAUGUUGCCUUGAAUGAUAUUAACCAUACUUAACUUUUAUUACCAAGGCACUGAAAUUGCUUGUAAGAGAAGGAUAAUAAUUGUCUUGCACUUUCAACUUGAAAUUCUCUGCGUACAAUCAUCUCUGUUGGAUGUAUGCAGACAUGAAUUCUGCAAUCUUGUGCUUUAGUUCAGAAUAUUAUUUAGUAACAAUUCAAUUUCCUCCAAUGCACAGAAUUUGGCCUGCUUUACAAUUGAAGGAGUUAAAUUAGCAGCAUGUUAAAUUUCUUCCAUCUGUCUCCUUUGUGCUCAUCAGAGGUUCCAGUUUACAAGUUAAUAUGCAUUAGUUUUAGAAAAUAUUGGCCAAGUACAAAGAAGUAUAUCCCUUCCCUAGGAACCUCUGGCUUUCCAAGAAAUAAAUGUUUUCUGUUUGUUUGCAGUUGCAAGCUUUCAUCAAAUAGGAGAUGCAAAGAAAUGAACUUACUGCUGCUUUUGUCAAUGAUGAACUGGUAUUCUUUCUGGUAUGUUCUUGAGUACCAGCUGCCAUCUUCUGUACAUGAAGAUUUACUUGAAUUGCUGGUAUAAUUCAUUUUAUGGUAUUUCAGGCUUCUGCUUUCAUUACCUUCCCUAUACUGGGUUCUUGGAUGCUGCUUUUAACAUAGUUCAGCUAGGUGAAGAAAUCUUCUUUUAGGGGGUAGUGUCUUACCCUGAAAUAGUAGGUGACAUCCAAGCUGUUGCACUUUGUUUUCUCUGAUCUCUUUUACAGAUUGGUUUUUGAUAUUAAAAGGUGAAAGAAGAGUUAGACACAUUACUGCGUACAGCACCGGGUCAUUUUGUUGCCAAUGAGUCAAUUUUACAUGGAAGUAUUCCAGGGUCCAGAUCAAUACAGUAUGAUAUUCAUUGACCCAAAUGUUGAUUUUUGAGGCUUAAGAUAUUUGCAUCUAUUUGUAGCCUAAUCAAAAUUGGAGUCGAUCAUUGAAUUGAUUGUGUACAAAGAUACGCAGACAUUUACACACUGGGAGCGUUUCACGUCCAUGACAAUUUUAGUCAUUUUCUUUAAAAAAAAAUGUUGGGAUUUGAAUUUUAAAUCUUUUUUUCUUAAAAAGUUGGUUUCGGUAACGCCGUUGAUGAAACUAAAGAACAGCCGUGGCAUCCAUGAGUGAAGAUUAACUAUUAAACAAAAACAAAUGAGGAAAGUGGUGAGGAGGAAUCCCAGAUUUUUGUUAAAAGAAAAAGGAAAACGUGAAUUCAUUCAUGAUUCAUCAUCUCUCUGUAGUCGGUCAUCAUGAAAUCAACGUAAAGAAAGGCAAAUGGCAGGCGAUAUGGCAAUUCCUUGAUGAAGGUAUUUCAAGCCUUGCAAAAAAACAAAAACUUCCUUUGUUUCUUUUUCUUUUUUUUGUCUCCUUCCGAAGUCACAAGGCUAAUCCAUAAUUGAGACUGAAAAAAGCAAAAAUGGAAGAGUCGACAUGGGAGCAAAAGCUCCAGGCUCUAACCCACAUCCUAACAAGCCCCACAACCUCACCGCCUCUCCACUCUCAACUCUUCAUCUCCACACAAAUACCAUGUUUCCUCAACUGGGAUUUCCCUCCAAUUCUCUGCAAUAAACCCAACUCCCAUACCUUCCCUUCUCUCCACCUGAAAUGGGGAAUCUCUCUUUUCCUCAGAAGGGUCUCAAGAUUGGGUGUCCCCGAAACUUCCUGGAGGUCCAAGUGCCCUUACUAUCAGCCCCCACCACUGAUUCUGGCCAAGGGAGUGGAUGAAGCACAAUGGGUCGAUGCGCAAAAGCGAGAGUAUGUUAGGAAGAGGCUGAGAAGGAAACGCCUAGAAAGCCAUGUCCACCCUUUAAUUCCGAUUUUGAUUCCCGAUUUAUUAUUGUUCUCCCUGCUCUGGUUCAAUCCAUUUCCUCUUAAUGAUUCCUGACAAUUUUCCUUGUCUCAGAAUUGUAUAAUAAUAAGUACAUAACUCUUAUGUCUUAUCACUUCUCUUGUCAACGUUGGAUCAUUUUAUUUACUUUGGUCGAUUUCGGAUUUCUUUCUCGGUAGCACUGUUGUUUGCCUUAUCAAAAUCUCUACUCUCAGAAAUUUUUCUUUCUUUUAUAGAAGAUGAUGAUGAUGAUGAUGAUGAUGAAAAGGGGCUUAAAUUGAGGCCCCAAGUAAAUUAAUUAGAAGCUACAACAUCAUAAAGCAAAAUCAGUAAUAAAGAGUUCUGAUUCACUUUGCUUAAUAUAGAAUUUACCUUUGCCAGUUAAGCCCGCCUGUAAUUUUGGUUAACGUCUAAACAUGCAUUUAUUUAUUUAUUUACAACUUACCUCAUUAAUUUUCUCCCCAUGUAUAACCCACCAAACUCCAACUGCACUACCUGAAACUCUUUAUUCGGUUUAGUUAAAUCUGGCCUCCACUUUACCACAACAUAGUGGGGCUGGCCAUCGCCUCCACUUUAUUCAAUACAUUCAGCUUCUAGAAUUCCAAAAACAAUACAUCAUGAUUUGUUUAUUAUGUUACUUUAAUUUUUUUUCCCCUUUUCGUCUAGUCUUGUUUUAUAUUAGCAGUGUUGAUCGUUGAUAAAGGUUGAAGUUUCGGAUUUUAAUGUUUGAGUUUAAGUUCUACCAUCUAUAAUUGCAAUACGGGUCUCUCUUACCUUGUGUAUAUGCGGUGUGUUUUAUCUAAUUAUUUUUAGAUUUUACUAUGUUUUUGUUCAGUUCUUCAUCUAUUAUGAAUUGCAUCAGUUGAAUUUUACGUUAUAAUUUAUUGAACAUAUAUUUAUUUUUGUCUUCUAAUUGUACAAUUUUUAUACCAGUGAAUUUUUUUAAAAAAAAUCAUGUGAUUAUGGAAUAUACGACAUAUAUUUAUGAAAUUUUAAGAAAAGAAAAAAAGAAAUGUUAAGUAUACACCAUUUUCAGUCACAUUAGAAUCCUGUUAAUACAUUAUUUCUACGGCUUCUACAUCACUAAACUGAUGAUCACAUUGGAUACUACCUUUUCUUUUCUUUUUGACUUAAUAGUAUUAAUGGUUUUCGAGUUUGGCAAACAUUUUUUUUCAAAAUUGGGUAGGAUUCGAUGGCCAGAUUGAUACAAUCUUUGUACGGCCGAAACGCUUCCCUACCGUUAAUCAAGCAACCAAACUUCACUUAAUCCAAGGAAAAGAAGAAAAGCAAAAAGUAAAAGCCAAAAGAAAAAUUAUUCAAUUGAUUGGUCAAACACUAACGUUGACAAUAAAGCUUCUUUUUUUUUUUAACUCUCUACCAUUGAUCUUUUAUUCCACCCCUUCCUUACAGCUUUUUGUUGUUGUUGUUUUCUAAAACAGAACCUCAUAAUAUCAGACAUAUUGGGACUCUGAAAAUUCAACCUUCAGGGAGAAAAAAUCCUUCUUGUUUCCAUUAUGUUUAUUUUGUUAUAGAUGGAGGCAUCGGUGCUUGAGUUGUGAAUGCAUAAGCAUGAACCAUAAAGUUCAAUCAAGAUAUGAGGAGAAUCUUCUUUUUCCUUUAUCUUUGCUUUUCUGUUUUUCCUUUGUUGAUGGCGCCAAACGUAGUCUUAAAGUAUAUUAGAUACAUCUGGUGACCAACAUUCAAUUAUAAUAAAGAGUAUAGAUAGAUACAUCAAUACUAUCCAGCCCUCUUUCAUGAUGAUGUUGCAAGUUUUGCACUCCACCCCCAUAUUAUUAUGAAGAGGAGAAAUUCCUGUUAGUUGAGCUUUAUUUUCUAAGAAAUGACUUCUAACAUUAAUAAAUUUGAAUCAUGAUAUAUUUAUAGCUAUUUCUCUUACUCUCUCGUAUUAUAGCUUUCUUUAUAUGCUAAAACAGGAGAUGAGUAGGAAGAAACAAUUUUUGUUAAAAGACGUGAAGUUGUCUUAAGAUUGACAAGGCAGUUAGAUGCAUUUAAAUUGGUAUUUAAGGAUAUGUCUGUAUAUAACUAGAACUAAUUAAGAUUACAAUACACUGCAAAAUGAUUCCACCUUUUUUUUUGGGGGGUUCUCUCUUUUAUAUGAUCAAAUACAAUGUUGAUAUGAACAAGGUUUUGCAGUUGUAGAAAAUCGUGGAGGACUUUUUUUUUUACAAAAAAGAAAGAUAAAAUUCAUAAAAAAUGUGAAGUUAAGCAUAUUUAGCGACGGGUGGGGUAUGGGGUGGUUUGCUAACAUGGAAUGCGCAUGGCAGAUUGGCACUUUAAAGAAGGGAUGGGGCCGAGGGGGCGGGAGUUGUUAAAUCCUCGGGGUAGAAAAAGGUAAGUAAGCGUGUCCCUGGCAUUAGACAAGGAGUAGAGGGGGCAGCACAUGCACAGCAUAACUAUAUCUCUUUAUUUUAUGUCCCACUCCACUCCCCCUCAUCUCUGCCGCAACAUUAAAUACCAUAUGCAUCCUUACUAUUCAUAAUGGUUUUUUGUUGGGUUGAUGUUACAAAAUUACAAUUUUACUAUAGAUGUAUUUAUAAUAUUUAAGAUUUUUUUAAGUAGGAGUUUAAUCUUUGGUGGUGAUGUUGAUUUUAGAUAUAUUCCCCACCCGCAAGUAGAUAUCAUACAUUCUAAUAUAAUUAAAAAUGGUAUAAUUAAAAUAUUUUUAAUAUUUUUAAUAUUAUUUUUAUAUUUUUGAAUUUUUAAAUUUUAAAAAAUUAAUUAAAUGUUGGUGCGUCAUCUACAUGUAUGCAACGGCGAAGCUUAAAAAAUAUUAAUUUUUUUCAUUCGUGAUUUGACAAAAAAAAGUAAGUUUAAAGGCUAAAAAAGCAUAAAUUUAAAUAAAUAGCUAAAAUAAUUUUUUUACAAAGUUAGAGAGCCAAAUAAAUUAUUAUUUUAUUUAAAAAUAUUUUUUUAAUAAAUUAUUAAUUUAGUCACAUAAUCUAAUAUAAUUUAAUUCAAACCCGUUGGUUCCAUCAACAAAUUGAUCUGCAUGAGACUUAAGGGUUAGAAUUUGGUGCGUAACUCUUUUUCCUCCUAAUUUUUACUUUUAAAAAGAAAUUGCAAUACAAUUUUUUUAUUAUAGAAUUCUCCAAUUUUUAUUUAUUUAUUUGAUCAGGAAGCUUUAUUGACACUGCUUUUAUUUUUCCAUCAAUCCAAUUUAAGAGACAAUUCACUUUUUAUAAUUAACAAAAAACAAAAAGAAAAUAAAAGAAAUUACUUUUUCCUUUUUCGUGUUCGAUACAAGAUAGAUGAAAUAUGGAAAAUAAAAUGCAAUGAAAAUAUAUUAUUAGUGAUAUAUCACCUCCAUUAUGUAGGGGAAAGAAAUAAAAAUAAUAUUAAUUUAUGAUACUUUCAUAAUGUGGUUAAAAAUAAUUAUCUAGUAUUUUUUUGUAAAAAAAAAGGAAAGUUGAUAUCUAUGCUACUAAUGAAGUUUCUUAGUGAGUUUGUUACUAAUCAUAUUCGAAUUUUAAAAAUUGUGAAUUUUUAAAAAAUAAGUUAUUUAUAUAACUAGUAAUAUACUAUUUUGACUCUUUUUUUAUCCGAGUUAAUGUUAGUUAUCUCGUGAUACCAAUUCAAUAAAACACUUUAUUUAUAUUAAAUUAAUAUAGGUGAGAAGUAAAAUUAUUUAACAAAUAUAUUCUUAAAAAUACUAAAGGAGGUUUUGGUUGAAUAGCAAAAUAUAAAUAUUACAAAUUAUAAAGAUGUAGGUUCAAUAUUUUUACUAUUUUUCUAUAUAAAAUGAUAACCUUAUAAAAGUAGUUUGUGGUUGAUGGACUAAUUUUUUAAAAAGAAUUAAUAUUAGUAAAGAUAUAUAUGGUACUAAACAUAAGGAAAUAGGGGAAAACGUAUCAUAUUUGUAGUGGGAGAAUGGGAUCAUUACAAGGAAAAAUGAAAUAUAUAUCAUUAACAACAAACAUAAAAGAAAGCGUCUUUUGAUAAAGUUGUUAUUGGUGUAAUGUGAAGGGACCACAAUCAUCACCAUUCACCACUUGCUCCUAAUUGAGUUGAAAUCUUUUUACAACAUAGAAAACUAGAACAUCUCCCUUUCUUGCUUCCUAUAUAUAGAUUUUGUAUCAUCGCAAUUCCACAUCACACACGCAAGCAAAGCAAAGCAUUAGCAACCAUAGCCAUGGCUUCCUCACCAAAACUCUUCUCUAUGUCUAUCCUCUUCCUUUUUGCCCUCUUCUCCAUGCAAAUCCAUGCUAGAGAGUACUUCAGCAAAUUCCCAAGAGUUAACACCAAUGAGAAAGAGACAACAACCAGAGAGCAAGAGCACGAGACCUUCGUUCCCCAGACCACCCAAAAGCCAGAAGAGCAAGAGCCAAGGUUCAUCCCUGAAACCCAAAAUGGUUAUGGCCUUUACGGCCACGAGUCAGGCUCAGGCUCAAGCCGGCCCAGUUUCACCACCAAAGAAACCUAUGAACCCUAUGUCACCCCUGUUAGAUUCCACCCUGAUGAACCCUAUAACAGCAUCCCCGAAUCCUCCAACAAUAAAGACACUUACUACUACAACAAGAAUGCCUACAAGUCCACUAAGCAGCAAAACUUGGGCGAGGCCAUUUUCACCGAGAAAGGAUGGAGCACCAAGGAAAACCAGAACAACAACUACUACAACGGCAACAUUAAUGGCGAGAAGCAAGGCAUGAGCGAUACUAGGUACUUGGAGAAUGGAAAGUACUACUAUGACGUCAAGAGUGAGAACAGCUAUUAUCCAAACCAGCUCGACAACUCAAGAGGAGUUGCUUCCAGGAACGAGUUCGAUGAGAAUCGUUACAACAACAUGGGAAGGUACCACCAGAACCAAGAGGAGUUCGAGGAAAGCGAGGAAGAGUUCGAACCCUGAUCACCUGUCGUACAGUAUUUCUACAUUUGAUGUGUGAUUUGUGAAGAACAUCAAACAAAACAAGCACUGGCUUUAAUAUGAUGAUAAGUAUUAUGGUAAUUAAUUAAUUGGCAAAAACAACAAUGAAGCUAAAAUUUUAUUUAUUGAGCCUUGCGGUUACUUUCUUGUGAUGAUCUUUUUUAUUUUCUAAUUAUAUAUAGUUUCCUUCGCUUUGAAAUGCUAAAGGUUUGAGAGAGUUAUGUUCUUUUUCUCUUCCUCUUUCUUUUUUAACUUUAUCAAACAAUUUUUGAAUAAAAAUGUGAGUAUAUUGUAACACUAGUUGUCUAUAUUCCCCUACCGAAAAAAUCUACUUAAAAGAGCAGUAAAAAACGCAAAGAGAAAAUGAAAAUCAAAUACAACAAUUCUUUAGCUUUCUAUACAUGAACAUUAAUGAUGUUCCAUGCAUACAAGGACAAUAAUCAUGACAGCCUCAUUAAACUAUUUCGAAAUGAUUGGAUCUUUUCAUGAUCUUGUUUUGUAGUCGAUGAUCCCCCUUCACCAAACCAUGCACGCGUAUAUAAAAGAACCUAAUUAAUUAAAAAGUUAAAUUUGAACAAGUUAGGGAGGUCUUGUUGGUGAAAACAUAGAGCCGAUAGGAUUGGAACAAUGAUUAUAUAUGGCGUCUCGUAUGCAUCUAGCUCAUAGAUCAUAUGCAUAAAAACGAGUUUUCAACAGUCAUAACCCCAACAAAAGUGUGUAGCUUGCUAGUUGUGUGCCACUUCCAUGUGAUGAUAUAAAUGGCCACCUUCUUCAUCACUAUCUUUGCAAGUGAUAGCAUCAUGUUUUGAGGUCAACAGUUGAUCGCACUUCUGAAGAUAAAUUUUUCUCUAACAAUGAAUUUUUUUCGUAACUUUUAAUUAAUUUUUUUCGAUGGAAUUAAUCAACAUAGUUUUAAUUAGUUCAAAUAAAUCUGUUGGCUAAAUAAUAAAUUCAAUCGUACCAAGUUAUAGUUUAGGUUGAGAGUAUAGUUUAUUUCUUAACCAUAUCAGGUUCGGAGUACUAUUUAUUAGUACAUUAAUUAAGAAAGGUAAUCCUAGUCGAUCAAGUUAAUGGUCAAGAGUUAAGUAUGCUAGUUGGUAAACAAGCAGCAACGUAAAAUAAGUAGGACCACCUUAGCCAUUAAAGUAAAAGCAGGUAAUCAAUUUUAAAUAUAUAAUCAAAAAAAUAAUAAUAAAAGAGAGAGAGGAAAAUGAUGAAUUUCAAUUGGAUUAUCCGUGAAUGACGGAUAGACUGUGGUUUGUCUCUUCUUCUUUUUCAACUUUAUUUGUGUUCUCAAGCUUUAGCCUUUAGAGACCCUCCUUCUUUUUGACUUGUAUAUACACAUAUGAACUCAAUGAAUCCAAAGACUUAUCUUGUAGGUGUAUAUCAUCUGUUAUGUCAGUGUAGAAUGUUUAUAAUAUUAUAGAUAACUGUUAGGGUUAGUUGGAGACCGGCAAACCCAACUAAAUGGGACCGGAGAGGGUGCUCUCCCAGCAUAAUGUGUGGGUACUGAGUACAGUGUCUUUAUUUAUAUGGAACCCCAUUUCAACAAAGGGAAGAAUUUAUUGACCCCCAAAAAUAGGAGCAAAAUAAUUGUGGGAGUACUCAUGAUGCUGGGUAUUGAAUGGUUCUUAUUUUUAAAAAAAUAAUAGCAGUACCGUAACUUUAACAAAUAGAUAGAUAAUUACAUUCAUCAAUUCAGGAUAGUUCGUGAUCAACUCUGAACAAUGCAUCUCUUACUCUCCAAAACUGCCUCUAAUCUUUUCAACCCGAAACAUUUUUCGAGUGUUGACAUGCAAAUAUUGUAACUAAGUUCCAUUGGAGAAAGAUAAAGAACAAUGGCCCAAAUGGCCCCAGGACCUACUAGGAUCAGUACCCAUCUUUCUUGGGCCUUCAAACAUUUUAUUUAUAAAAAGCUUUUUAAAUGUUGAUAGACAGUUCACCAUAGGGUAUAUGUCUUUUUUUAGUUGGUGUGAUGACGAACAUUUAUGAAUUUUUGUUUAUGUGGUAUUAUUUGAUAAAUUGAAAAAUUAAAGUUAAAAUUAAAAAAUAUUCUAUAUUUAGAAUAAUUUUAAAACUUCAAAAGAUAAUGCAACCAAUAACAAAAUAUGAAAAAAGAAAAUUUCAAAUUCAGGUCUUUGUCGAGUUUCUACUUUUUACUAUUUUCUUGAUCUUUCAUUGGGGACAAAAAUCAUAAAAGCUAAUUAAUUUGCAAAUCACUGUUGAUUUUCUUUUUUUUCUUAAUCACCAAAAUGAAAUUCAGAAAUUGCGCAGAAUUUAUCUAAUUUUCUUUUAGGAUACUGUAUUUCAAAAAUAAAUUAUUGAAUGUUUGCUAAAGUGAUAAAGUAGGUCAUUAUCUAACACAUUGAAAAUUCCCAAUAGCUUUAUUAUGUAUAUUUUUAAUGUAAAACUUCCUAGUUUAAUUUUAAAAUGUAGUUCUAUAUGAACUUCCAGAUUUAUGCUUAGUUUUAUUUUAUUUGUAUGUUUUUAUUAUACAUUUUCAGAAAGGCCUAACCAAACUGAAUUGUUCCACUUCUUUUAUUGUUCUUUUCCCGAAUAGUCUGGGAGGAUUAAGAAUUUUGAGCUAUUUAAAUAUUUAAUUAAAAUUUUAAAAAAUUUCCAGAAACUUGAUGAAAAUGCAGAAAAAAAUUUGAGAGCUAUUGACAAAAAGAAAUUCCAACAUCUUCUAAGGAGCCCCACGUGUCCUUUUCUCCAUGCGGGCGGAUCAACCAUAGGCGGAGUUCAAAUCUUUUAUAUACGUUUCAACAUGUAAAACGCCUUUCAAUUUCCCAUGCGAUUUGUUUAUGGCACCUCCUCCAUUAACCCCAAUCUUGUCAAACUAAACACACAGACUGCAAAAACAAACAAAACCAGUGGAGUUUUAUUUCAUUUCAGAAUCCCACCUUCAAUCUUUUUGGUUUGGUACUAUUAAUGUCCGAAAAUUUUGAGCUGGAAUCAUUAACGUGAAAGUUAAUGAUUCUAACAACCCUGAAAUUGAUUGAUUUCAACUUUUUAACUCCAAAUUACUCUGGGCUUUUAAGUUUGUUUGCUGAAAACAAUGUUACAAAUGAACUUUCCCCCUGAAAUAUGAACCAUUACCCUUUUUUGUAGUCUCAUAUUCCUGUCAUGAACUGCCUCUCUUUAAGUUUUCACCUGUCACCAUUGCCUGCCCAUUUACUUCUAAAUUAAACACCCCUGAACUUAAAUUUAAAGGAAAUUAAUCAAUCAAUGUGAUACUUUAAAAAAAUUGGGUAACAAGUAAAGAACCCUUUCUUUUCUUUGUUAUUUAAUGGUGUUGGUUCCUUUCAGAAUGCAGUUGUUCUAAUUCGAGGGGAAGUAAAUGCAGGUUUAAGUGAAGUAUGAACCGUACAAAAUUCAUCAAUUUCUGUAAAUUUGUAUAACCCCCCCCCCCCCCAAAAAAAAUGUUGAACAGAGUAAGUUGCAUCAAAUAGAAAAUGAGUAAGAGUUAUGAAUAGACAAGCCAACAAGAAUCCCAUUUUCUUUUGUUUUCUAGCUUGUUUAGAUAGUAUGAUUACUCCAUUUGUGUGAACCUAAUGAAAUAUUGAAACAAACCCAUUUCUUUUCUCUUGAAACGAAAGAAACUUAAAUGUAAUAUAUGAAUAGGAGGCUAACAGCAUUGAUUCUCUUGCUGUCUACAAAGAUUUCGAUUACUCGUUUUGUUUGAGUAAUCAUUUAGCAGAAAACAGAGUUGAGUAUCACCUCCUCCAUUUCCCUAUAUAUGAGGUGUCCCGUUUCUUUAAUGCAUGGGAGGAAAAACUGUUAGCCAAAUACCAUUCAUGAUAAGACAUAUCAUAUUAAGAAAUAAUUACAUAAUUAUUCAUGAUAAGACAUACCUUUGCUGGUCCAUAGAUUAAAAAGAAAAUGAGAUUUUUGAAAUAUGGCGGUAAGUUGAUGGUUAAAGUGUUGUUGUUCAAUGUCUAAACGGGUGUGAUUAUGUGACCAAAUUAAGAUAAUGAAAUAGAAAAUUGGUUAUAUUAAUCAACUCUCUCUUGUGAUUUGCAAAGCUGAAACUCCUCUCCCCUGGGACCCAUAUCAUCAAUUGCUCCUUGUUUAAGGAAGAAUCUCUCAGAUGAGCCAAUCCAAGACAGGCGCUCUUAUUGACCACCUCUUGUACUUUUAACACUAGCUGCAAUUUUGUGUUCCGCUUGCGAUAUUUUGUGAUCCUCAUCUUCAUUCAUUCACUUGCCAUUUUCGUUUCAUUUGUUUCUUGCCGUUGGAGCUGUCAACCCAUGGCUGCUGAGGUAAAUAGUUCUUCUUCUUAUUGGUUGUUUUCUGUUGAUCAUGAAUGUGAACUUUUUUUUUCGUGAAUUUAUGUUUUGAUUUUCUGGUAACCAAGAAUCGGUUUCUGGGUUUUAGUUCCUUUAUGUUCUUGGUUUCUUGCUCAUAUAUUUGGUGGUUGGGAAUAGUAACUGAAAGAUUUUGGCCCCUGGUUAUGCUGAAUGUCACCGCUGUCGCGGUAAUAGUAACUUGCUGUUUACUAAUGAUAGAAUAAUCUAAAUUUGAAAGCUUUUCAUAAUUCAUACUAUUUUCUUUGGAAACAUAAAGGUGUUAUCAUGGCCUUUUCCUCUUCCUGAUUCACGGGUUUCUAGAGAGAACCUAAUUAAGGUAUGCUUAAAUUUAUGGUGUUUUAAGUGGAAUUACAACCAGGACUUUAUCUCAGUGCUUUCUCUGGUUAGCACUUACUGAUCUGUGCCGACUGUCUUCUCUGGUUACCACUUACUGUGUCGUUGGUUGGUCGCAGCUUAGAUUUUAAUCCAUGCUUUUGAUGUUCUAGCAGCACCAAAUGUAGUCAAAACAGAAAGAAUCUCCGGACCCUGUGUUUAUUACUUAUCUAGUUUGAAGUUAAAUUUGUUAGUAUUUGAUGCAAGAGAAAAGGGGUGAUGAAUGUUCAUUUGAUAUUAACUAGCAUGUUUGAUUACAAAGGAAGGUCCUUAAGUAACAUUGAUGCCUCUGUUUCAUCAGAAUGGGCUCUUUGGCUUGUGUUUGGAGGGUGAAACUGACAUUUAUGAUUUAUGUGAUAAGGAAUUUGACACUAAAAUGUCAUAAAAAACUUUUUGAGUUUGCCAUCCCCCACAUGGCUUUAGCCAAACUUCCUUUGUUCAAUCUCUUUCAGUUUUUUGAGAAGGAUUAUCAUUGAACAUUUGAAUGCUAAAUUUUGAAUCGAUUACCUUUUCCCCAGAAUCAUGAAACGUCCAAUGGUUGGCCACUUGGACUACAGAUAAUGAAUAUAAGGCUUGGGUUACAACAAAGGUUACAGGCUGCGGCUCCAGCUGUGGAACUAUACUUUUUGCACAUUCCCUCUAGCAGUUUUUCCUCAUUCUCCUCUUCCAACCUUGACACCGAGGUAACCAACCUUUUCUUCCCCCAUUUGCUGGCUCAACAUUCAAGCCUUGCAACAAAUAUAUAUAUACAUAUUUAUUUACCAAUACAUGCUAUUUCUUGCAUUGCUACCAGUCCUCAGCAUCAUUUUUCCAAGAUAACAGCGUAUCCCUGGGGAAGCUAAUUGGAUAUGGACCAGGUGAAAGAGAAUCGUUGUAUUUACAGAACUCAAUCCAUACGGAUCAGAGCUGUAGGCUACCUGUAAGAGGUGCCUGCAACUGCAAGGAUAAAGGACGCAGUGCAGAUGCGUCUCAGUCUCAGGGGAUUUGUAUUCCUCUCCUACUAGGAGCUCUACUAAAGAUUACUGGAAACAAGAUCAAGUCAAAGCGAUUGGAAUGAAUCCAUUCCUCUUCUACCAAAUUCUUUUCUCCUGUGUUUCAUAAGUUAGUCAUUAAUACUGCCGUCAACCGUCCAACAGCACUAUCGAAUUAACAUAGGAGUUUGAGAAACUGGAAACUCGAAUGUUAUUUUCAUUUUAAGAUGAUCAAGUUCGACAUUGAUUUCAGGCAAAUGAUUCAAAAACAAAAGGCUAGUUAUGUUCUUGCUUAGCACAAAUGUUUGCGUUUUGACUUUUGUUCCAGAAAGCAAUGGCUUCCUCAAAUCACCACACAAUCCAAGUAAAACCAGAAUGCCAAAGGUUCAAAUGAAUACCAUUAAGCUCGACAUCACUUGGAAGCAAAUAUUUGAAGAACAAACGAGAUUCAAUAAAGCAUUUAAACCAACGACCAACUCGAUUUAGAAAGAUCUUACUAUCAACACUUAAAUUUCCAGACGCAAUUUGUUCACUAGAAAGCAGUCUUGUACAUAUUCCACUAGUACUUAAUCUAGACCAUUAGAUGUUAAAAAGUAUGAUGCAGAAGACCAACCAUCAGCAAGAUUUGUAUACCAAACCCAACACGUUCACAAUGAAAAUUGUACCAUAAUAGCAUCUCGCCAACAUUAUGAAGGGUAAACCAGAAUCAUCAGGUCAAUCCAUAAGAACUCUUUCGGUAUCCAGCAGCUUAGGUCUCAGCAAUCUCGUCAUUUUCAAGCACACUAACCAACUCAUACUCGACAAGCGAUAGAUUGUUAUCCUCUUUAACAACAAAGUUGGCAGGGUCAGUGACCUCGAUGCGGCCCCAUUUGUCGACAGCCAGCCUCAUAGAACCCUUAAACAUAUCGAUCUUCGCAUUACGAAGAAUUACAGUGUCAUCGGGCUUCAUCAAGUCAACUGCAAAAUGAUUCAAGCAUCAUCAUGGAGUUUAAGACUGAGCAGUUUAAAUGUAUAACCUCUGUAAAAGUGAAAACCAAAAACCAAAGCAAAAUACGAGUUCACAAUUUUUGCAAUUGUGAGAACGCGACAAUUUCACAGAUAGGCCACCAAGUUUUACUAUGAUUAAUAAAUUAAGGAUUUGAACGCCAAUUAAAUCCAAUGUUUGGUUCUUGAUUAAUUUACCAUAUCUCUUCGAGAGUUUCUUAAAAAGUUUCAUAUUGAGAAAUAGAAUAAAAAACAUUAACACCAUGGCAAAUCAACGAUUAAUCAAGAAACUCAAUUCGUGUAACAUCGCAAUACUAAAUAAACCUUAAUUAACAGCUAGAUCCUAGAUCAUAUCAAAUCCACACUAGCACCAACAAAACAACGAACAAAAAAUAAAAGCUUCUGAAUGCCACUGUGUUUCAUAUAAACAAGCCAAAAAAAAAAAAGAACGGAAAGAUCAUAGCUUUUGGAAUUAAGGAUGAAAUAAAACGUACCCUUUUGAGAAAAAUUAAGAUCCGAUCGGUAGAGCAUAAAACUUUUUUUAAGAAACAGAAAAAAAAAAAAAGAAGGGUUAGAAAAUUGGACCUUGCUCAUUACGAGCAGUGAAGAGGACAGUGCCGGUCUCGUCUCCGACAAGGCACUCAGCGAUGCGGGUUUGGCGGAGAUUUCGAGAAGCGGCUCGACCCUUUUGAAGGACCAUGUUAGAGGACAAUACCUUGGCGACUAAGGUGUGGCCUUUUGUCCCUGGUUUUAGCUGAUCUACUUUCACAAACACCGGCUUUCUCUUCUCCGUCGUUUUAUUUUGUUGUUGUUGCUGCUGCUGCUGUUGUCCUUGUCGUUUUGGCUGCCCUGUCGUCGCCAUUGUUUCAAAUUGACAAAACCUCUUCUCUUCUCUGCUUUUCUUACUUCUUUCAGAGCUUGUGGGAGAAAGAGAAAUGGGGUAGCCCUAGAAGUAGAACAGAAAUUGAAGCAUUCCUACUUUUCUCUCGAUGGGAAAGUAAACGAUGGCGUUUUAGCUACUUUAAAAAGAUUGACUUUGAAGCCAUUUUUCUUUCUAUGGAUUUGUCUUAAUAUUUAUUUCUAAACUACAACUAAUGAAAAUGACUCUACAAAUCCUUUGUUACAUGAUUGAUGAAAAUAAUCAAUUAUGGUAUUUUCCAUCAAUAAUUAAACGUCAUUGUUUCUACGAAUAACUGCAACUUUUUCAUUCUUGAAAUAUGGAAGUGGGUAUGGCAUGAAUUAUGAAACACUCCAACACCCAAUACUCCUCUGAAUAAUAAUCAACAAUCAUUAUUUUAUUACAUAAUUAUCAGUUAUCUGUCGCUUUAAGAUCAAAGUCCAAUUAUAAGCAUUUAGAGGGUGCUCUGCUCCUGUACCAAGAAAAACACUGCAUUCAUAUUCAUUUGUCGAAUGAAUGGCCUUGGGCCAAUUGAUAUAUCUAUCCAUUAUUCAAGGUAAUAAUUCAAAUAAAUGGUGUACAGUAUAUGAUAACAUUUACUUACAGAGCGAUACAAAUAAUGCGAAAUUUCUCACAUCAACAUCAGACUUUCUUCUGAAAUAACUGUUAGCAAUGAAUACUUAGCUUUGAUCGAAAUUCUGCCACCUUCUACACAGAGUUUGGCUCCGGUUACCACCCAAUAUCCAGGUGUAUCCUGAGGUCCUCUAACUAUCUCCUUUGUGUCCACAAAGUUUGUCAUUUUGGGUGCUUUGGUUGGUGAAGGUGGACCACCUGGAAAAACUGCUGAAUUUAAGUCCACUUUGGUCGGCUUCUCAUUUGGAUUCAGUCCUGAACUGAACCUCGUGCUGAUCAACAUUGAGAACAUUCCAGAUUUCCGUGACAAUGUUGAGGGUCCAUCCCAUUCUGGUCUACGUAGCCUGGCAGAGGCCACCAUGGAGAACCCAAGCCUCAGGAACAGAACUUUCCUCAUCCCAACAACCUUUACCUUGAACCAAGCUUUGGUCACGAUAGGAGCAGUACAUUCAAAGUGGGCUCCGUUGUAGUGUACAGGGGCAGUGCAUACAUGCGAGAAUAUGCUCCACUUGACAGGUUCCAAAUACCCACGUUCGGGCUCAACGAUCGACUCAUAGCUGUGGUCAUCUGAGAGCGGGAGGAUUGUAGGGAGAGUUGAGAGAUGCUGAAGAUGGAUUGCUAGAUGGUCACUCUUCUUACCCUCCAAGUAUAGGCGUAUUCCUGUCACCGGUCGUUUUCCAGUAUCAACCUGCAAUUACGGAUUUGGAACUCGAGAAUCGGUGAAAUAAGAAUAGUAAUCACAUGCAUGAUUUAUGCAGAUUGUUUUUGCAAUUAUAACCAUUUUAAUCCGUGGCAAUCAUCCUGCAACAUCAUUAUUUUGGUUCUAACAAAAUUAUUUGACCCCAUUUUAGUGUUACAUUGGUAAAAAAGGGAAACCAGUCGAUUGUAUUAUGAGCUCAAAAAGCAAGCACUUUAUCAGCAUGCUCAGAAGCUUAGAUGACAUUAAAUAAAACGACAAGUCAAUCAACAAUCCAAUAUCAACACUGCAUCUACAAUGGUAAAAAUGUUAAGCAUGGCUAAGCAAGCAGUCCACCAAGGGGUUCAUGUAGAGUUGAUGAGGAAUUCGGGUAGAUGCAUUUAUAAAUUUUCAGACACAAUCAUUCCAAGUAUCAACUAUCACGGAACUUCACUUAAGCAGCAAACAAUCAUAAAUAACUACUAAAAUGUCAAAAGAAAUGGCGCAAGUAAAACUGUGUGCUGCGAAAUGAUACCCGUGCAGUAUUAACAUAAAGCUUAGGCCCCAUAAAAGUGAACUGAAGUGAUGGGGAUGAUUGUUUUCUGUGCUUGAGACCAAGAGGCAGAUCACUGUAUACGGGAGCCCAUUGUCGAGGUAUUUGAAAUUCGAGAAAUACAUGGAGUUCCUCUAUCGGUGGUUUAUCUGCAUGAUAUUAACAAUCAUUAGAAGCCAAAAUCAGAGCACACAUAAGCACCAUAUUAACAAAGAAGGAUGCAGUUAUAUGAUUUGCGAAAACAAUGAUCUUCCAUAUACACCAACAUUCACUCAAAAUGAAACAACUAGGAAAUCACUGUCCGCAAAAACUUUGAAUUUAAUGUACCUUAUAAUUUAUUAUAGAUCUUCAAGGAGCAUAAACAAUCCCAUUUUUUACAAGAGUAGUACAAUGUGCCAAAGUAUGAAUAAAUUGUAAUUCAAAAUAAAAAUAUUGCAUUUGUGAAGUAUUAAUAUGUAAAUGAACUAAUUAAACCCCAGCUAACAGGGAAAAAUCCAGUUUACAGAAAUUGCCCUUAUGUAAUCUAGUGCCAUCUAGACAUUUAGCCUCGGAAAAAACCAAACUAACGGUAUAACAAGUAUGCAAACUCACAUCGUAGGUACAAGUUCACUGCAUGGCUUAAAAAUCCAUUUCCCCGUGCACAGCUCAGUAGAGAAGUAAUAGGCACAAGGGAUAUUGAUAUGACAUUUGGUGACUGCGAUAUUGUUGACAGCCACUGGCUAUGACUUUGACCGAAAUCAAUGCCUCCCCUACGAAUAUAGAUAUUCAUAAUGUCCUGCAACAAAAACAAAAAUCAAAUGGAGUCGUCACCUCUACUAAAAGCGGGGUGCAGGUGUAAUUCCUAAACAACAGUUAAAAUAAAAACCAUCAAACUUACAUUAUUCUUUGAGCAAGUGACAACAGGUGGCCUCAUUGAUCCAGCGAGCACCCCUUGAUGAAGUUGCCCGGGAAUAUAAUGUUCUCCCUAAAGCAAUCGAUGGAAACAAAUUAGUGAGAAAAAAUUAUUUCCAAAGCCUUGCCAACAGUGUUCUUCCAUGAACUAAUAUGUAGAAGGGGUCAAGUAAUAAUUAGUUUGAAUUGUAAUCCUUCUAUCUCCUAUAUGGCAUUAUCGUUACCUUGAUUACUUAUUGCCAAGGAAAUUUUACAGUGCAUACUGAACAUUCCCCCCGCAAUUAUCUAAAAACUGUAAUUUUGCCUACCUACCCUAGAAUGCAAAAGUGAAUAGAAUAAUAGGCAUGCACAAUUCAUUCAGAUUUUUAAGAUUAAAUGCACCUUUGGUUUUUCCGAGAAUGGAGAAGUUCCUAUAUUUUCUGAAAAUCUCUCAUCAGCUAAUUGCUUUAAAGUUUUCUGCACUUCAUUGGGCUGAAGAUUUGAAUUUUGUAAUUGUUUUACAUGUAUAACAUCUUUACCUCCCAUUUUAACCCCAACAACAACGUGAGUACCAUAUUUUUCAAUGAACCUGGGAAAAACCAUGAUCAGCACGGGUUUAGUACAAAUUAUCAAUACUACUAACACACACGGUUAACGUCAAUGGGAGCACUAAAUUUAUAAGUGCAAUUGCUUUGCACAUGUUAUAAUCAGAUUCAUCAAAAACAAAGUAAUCAUAAUUCUUUCCCGGGGAAGUUUUUUACUCCAAAAGGUUACGUAUAUGACGAACUUACUCAGCAAUGGCAGCAGGGUCCCAUGUAGUAGGCACCUCUUGUUUCACACGCUCGGACAAAGUUAUGUUUGUUCUUUCCAACUCAACAUUGUACAGUGUUAAGAACCAACCAUCAUAGGCAAGACCUUUUGCGGCACAGGCAUCCUUCUGCCAGCAGCCUUUGAACUCGAACAUGGCAUUGAAUAGGCCGGAAGGAAUCUUGCCGGAUAAUGAUAGAUCCCGAUUGAACUUCUCUGACAUCUAGCAUAAAAUGACCCCCAAUUUAAUUUCAAACAAAUCAAGCCAAGUCUGAAGAAAAAAGAAAAAACUCUCCGGGGCUUUCUUUUUCUUCCUGAUUUUCUAUUUUCUAAUCUUGAAGGAUAGGGAUGCCAUUUUGUUAUUUCUUUGUGGACAAGUUUAGUUGCAAAACAACUUCCAAAGAACAAAGAUAUGCAAGAACCAGCAAAAAGAGCAUAAGCAAGAAAAGAUAAUCAUAGGAGCUCUCUUGAAUACUCUGGAACUUUACAUUAUAAAUAAUACAAAUUGUGGACUCUAAAUAUUGAAGCAUAUUCAAAUUUGCGAAAAUUUUUCCCUCAAAUAGAAAACAAAGCACAAACCAAAAUUAGCAAACAAAAAGCAAAACUUCCCUAUAAUUCUAAUAUUAUUAGUACUAGUAACUCUCUCUUUUUCAUUUAUUUAAACAGUACUAAACCAGCAAAAUAAACACAAAUAUACCAAAGGAAAAGGUCAAAAACUUACCUGGCUAAAAGAAAGAACAUCAGAACGAAACCUGGUACGCUCGCCUUUAUCGUAUUUAAUCGAAUUGGGGACAUCUUUUACAACAACUCCAUCAGGAAAAACCAGGUCCCGAGUCGCUGCUGAGUCAAGUUCGAUCAAUCUGGAGCCGGAAGGGCCAGGCAGGCAGGCGGAUAGCCUGACAUCCCUGCACAAGUCGAAUCCGAAACCGAUAACUGAAACGGCCUUUUCAGCCGCCGAUUGCGGGUCCAUUUGAUAAAGAUUCCCGGGCAUGGAUUCCUAAUGAGACGGUAGCUGGAGUUGCGUGUGGGUUUUAGUGAAACUGGGUAUGUAUUAUGGGGUUUUACCCACUGCUGAGGAAGGAGAUGGCCCAUUGAAAUGGUCUUCGGUCCGAGUUAUUUUAUCGAUUUUUAAUUUUUAUUUUAAAAAAAAUUUGCCUGUUUCGGGGGGGAAACAGAGAUAUGAAGGUGACGUUCGAAACUAUGACGUUUGACUUGAGAGUUCAGACAGACAGAAGCUAAUGUAAACAAGGGAAGUUUACCAGUCGGCUGGCGUGGAAACUAACUGAAACUGCAUACUUGUUCCAGAUGGAAACGUGUUUGGUAAAGUUUGGCUUUUUGAAUGUUCAAAAGAAACUAUAAAUUGAUUAAAAAGAAAAAGAUUGAAAAGUCAUUAAUAAAGAAAUCAAAUGCAAGGAGCAAAUUUCUUUCGGUACCCUAAGUUACGUAUAGACUUGACUUUGGGGAUGGUUCCGAUGGCGCUUUCAGGAAGUUCAAACGAACUUUUGUCGAGAAUAAUCAAAGAUGAGCGUUUUUAACACUCCCAAUUUUCAACUUGUGGAAUAGUUAAUCUAUGAUGGGAUCCAUCUGAGAAAUUUUCACCCCCCUCGAAACUUGGAACGAGGCAGUCCCUUUCCUUACUAGCUAGUCCCAAUAAAUCAAUAUUAUCUAACAUAAGCUAUAACUAAAAUCCACCCCCCCCCCCCAAAAAAAAUCAACACGCUUGUUAAUAUAUUGGACUGAAGUAUUAAAGCCUGCCUAAUCUAUUAUAAUCCAAUGAUUUGUAGUAGCUUUAAACUUAUGAUGGGAUUGAAUGCAGGAUGCUUUAGAUUCUAUUGAUACAAACCUACAUAUUAUUUGAUUACAUGUAUCGAUUUAACAUCAAGAUUUAAUUCAUUAUCCUUGGUAAUUAGUUUUUUCUUUUUUGAAUUAUAAAAAGAAGAUAAUGUCUUAAUAAUAAAAUAAUUAGUGUAACUCGAACCCAAGUCAUAUCUAAGAGGUGUAUAUCCUGAUGAUCAGGUCAACACAAAGGGUUCGAUAAUUGAUAUUAUCAGCAUCCUCAAUAUUUAUUGGUAUAUUUUAUUUAUCAAGAGAGUUAUCUUGUAAUUAUAUGAGAGGAAUAUCAAUGAUUAAUUAAUCACAAUAAAUUCACUGAUAAAUUUUAUCAAUAUUUGGAUGUACAUUGAAAAUAGUUUAUGUGAAUUUAAGAAUAAUUAUAAUAGUGAGAUUAAUUACUUUAGCAAGAUGUUAAAUAACGUAGUAGUAAUAUUAAAAUUAAUAGUUAUAUAUAUAUAAAUAUUUGGAUUCAAAUGCAAGGAUGAGAUAAUAAUAAUAAUAAUUUUUUAAUUUUUUGUCAACAUAUUAUAAAUAUGUCGUUAUAAAUAAAAUUUUCAAUAAAAUAAAAUAUAUUAAUCCCAUAUAAAAAAAAAUGUAUGUAUUCAUUUCCUAAAAUGUGUCCAAUUGAACCAAAAUCAAAAUUUCGCAUAUACAUAUGAACCACAAUUCAAGUUUCAUGUGUUUAAUUGCACCAUAUAAAAGUUCAAGUAUCAAAUUGCACAUUAGACCAAAAUUUAUGUAUAAGUUUAAUAUUUAUCUAUUUAUUUUAAUAUUUUUUUACAUUAUUCUAAGUAAAUAAAUAAGUAUUUAUAAAUGUUCGCAUUGAUAUUUAACAAAUAAAAUUUCAAUAACUUCGUUUUAUGUACGUUUAUAUAAAUAUUUUAGUUAUUUAUUUAUUUUAGAUUGUUGCAGACUUGCAAUAGAAAAUAUCCAAGGUUAAAAAAAGAAAAACAUAUAAUUUAAAAGUCCAAUAUUUUUGUCACUAAAGAAAUUAAAAAACUCACUGUCUCCCAUCGGAGACUUGAGCUCCACUGAAAAAUAUGAGAUGAGUUUGCUCAAUCACAGCUCACUAAUAUUAUUCAAACACCAUACGAUGGUUGAUUUGUAAAUUUUUUGUCUUGAAAAUUAAGACAGCUUCAGUUGUAUCCAAAUGGAGCUUGACUGUGUCAUCCCAAGAGCUUUUGGUUUUCUUUUUGUCUUCUUUAAGAGUGGUUCUUUCCUUUUCCGUCGCCAAGUCUUAAAAGUAAUCAAAGAGUUGGAGUUUUACUCGCUUGCAUGGCCAAUACGGUGCUUGACUUCAUUGAUGCUACUUCAAAGUAUGACAUGCAAUAACAUAAAAAUAUUUGUUCUUGGUUUUCCGAAUUAAGAACAAGCCAGAUAGUGUGUAUACUUAAAAGAAGUUAAGAUUCGAGUAUUUAAUUAUCCUAUAUAGAAAGCCUUUUUCCAGUGCUCAGCAGAUGUAACCAUAUAUGGUUUCUACUCUAAGCGUGCUCUCUCUCUUUUGUCUGCUCUACUUAUAGUCUAUCAUCUGCAAGAUAAAAAAAAAAUUUAUCCAUAUAUCCAUAGUAAACGUGUCUUUCUGGGGGGUUUAGAGAGUUUGGCAACAACAGUUGGCCUUAUGUAAUCUUGAAUUUUUCCUUAUAUGUAUAUGUUCAAUUUCUCAAUUUCUUCCGCUAUUUUUACUUGUUCGAUCCCAAUUUCAUUUUAUUCAACCUUGACCGUCAAAAAAGUUGAUGCAUUCAGCAAAUAACAGCUUUGUUCGCCAAAAACGUCGCUGCGAUUAGUAUUAGCAGAUUCAGACUUUGAUCAAAUUAGCUUUUCAGUGCCCAAGUACUGAAGUCUCUCACACGUUUCUGAUAAAACAGUAAGAACUCCAUUGCUAGCUGUGUUGAGCCUUGGAUUCCAUCGGGUAGUGUUUCGACACAAUUGUCAUGCAAGUGCAAAGCAAAUAAAACUAAUUCAAAUCAAAUACUAAUGGCCAACCAGGUGGAAGUACCAAAUCAAUAAAGUAUAUAAUAUUCGCUUAAAUAAAAUUAUCCAAUAUUUGAUAAAGAAGCAUCCUCAUGCAGACAACAAUAGACCUGUGAAAAACUCUUCCUGCACCGACAUGAAAAAAAAUCGGGGGGAUAACUCGAAAAACAUUAAUGAUUGUUUCAGCCGCUCAAGUGCUAUACUAUUGCACUCUUUCCUGCAAAAGAAAUUAAACUUCAAGGUCAUAUCAUAGAAAUCCGAAGGAUCAACCCAUGCCAAGAUGUGAGAUGAAAGAUCAGCCACCGAGCUAAUUAUAUAACUUUGAAAAUGUUAGAAGCCUCUUGUGAUCAGAUGAAUUAAUUAUUAGCUUCCUUAGUUGUUCUUGAUUCCGAGAAGCUUCAUGGCAACCUCCCAGGUGACGAUUGCAGCUGCAUUAGCAGGAAAAGCUCUCAGUAUAGUAGGACCCAGGCCUGUGUAGCAUCCUCUAAGUCCAGACAUCCGAUAUAUCUACAAGGCAAGGAAACAAUUAGAAUAUCCUCUGUUCCUUUCAAUAUUAUUUUGAUUGUUACAAAACCUCCACCAUGCUGCUAUCCAUCUUAUUGUGCUAGAAAAGGCACAUUCAGAUCAUCUUACCGAAUUUAAAACUUGAAACGGAUUUGUCAGAGAGCUUUUAUCUGGAGCGGUCUGGAUAAUGGUUUUUGCCACAUCCAAAGGUAACACAGUUGACCAGAACUAAGAAAAAACAAAUAAAGAAUAAAACUAGAUAUAAAUAGACCAUAUCAUAACUCAAAAUUGAAAAAUCAAUAUGCAAGGAUGUCAGAAUGCUUACAGCUACACCACCCAGACCACCACUCAGAAUUCCAAUUCCCAUAUCAACCAAAUUGUUAUGGUCAGAUGAACCAGAUUUUAGCUGUAAAUGCAUAUAAUAGCGGACAUAUUCAUACACACUAAAAAAUACUGCAUUUCCAAUAGAUUCCCUUAAAAAUGUUGUAGAGCCACCACGAAAGGCGCCUGUAACCUGUAACCUGUAACCUGAAAGGUGUUCCAUUAGUUUAAAUCACGUACAAAUUAAGUUGCCAAAAGGCAGAGUAUUUCUCACCCCAUCACUUUUUAUGGUUUUUAGUGCGCAAUCAAGAGAACUACUGUAGCCACUGCACUUUGGAACCAAAGAGUCAGUACCUUGAAUUUGCAUCCUACACUGGAGAAGCCCAAUGUCAAAAGCAUGCUUUGGGAGAAACAAACAGUGAUCUGCUAUCAAUUAUCAUAGAGCAAGUACUAGCGGGGCAUAGAAACUAAUUCUUACCUUCACUAGCUCUGAUGGACAUAGAACAAAACUGAUAAUAGCUCCAGCGAAAGCAGCAGAAGGAAUUAUUACUUGGGGCUGGGGCCUGCUACUCUGAACUCCUCCCUUAAUUGGCACAAAAAAUCUUUUUAAAAAAUAAUUUAAAACAUUACAAUGUGUUGGAAACAUGCCUAUGAUAUUAUUAAAACAACUAGUUCCCAAUCUAGUUUCUGCAAUAGGAGUUUCAUGGAUGGGUAUAUCACCUCCAAUUCCCUGUAAUACGAACCUGCAGUGACUGUUUUGUUUGCGAAUAAAUGCCAAAAAGAAGUGAACUUUCAAAAGCCAUCCCAACAAAAGAUGGCGUUGCCCCUAUAUAAAGUCCUCUAACCUGCCAAAGCUAAUCAUGAGUUCUCCAAAAAAGAAAAAAUUCAAAUAUGUUAAGAGUAAGGGAGAGAGUAACAACCAUGUAUAACAUAUACAACCAAAAAAGUGAACCAAUGAUUUAUAUUCCACAGACAACCUUGUACAUGCUGAAGUAUCCUCUCAACUUACGUAGUAGACCAAAAUCUUGGUUCUAGAAUUGCAGCUAUAGAUAUUGAGAAUUUGUAAGAAUCUUUCUUUAUUCUUUCUUUUCCCUUUUGGACAUAUACAAAUUGCAAAUUCUCUCUAUCUUCACAGAUUCAUGGAUAACUUCAAUUACUUUUUCCAAUAUUGACAUUUACAUUUUUAGAUUUUAGGACAUUAGCAGACAAGAUCCAUUGUAGGAAUAAACACAUAACAAGCUUGUCUGUGCAAAAUGUUGAAGUCUGAGAUAGCAGAACAUUUAGCUCAUUAUAUCCUACUGAUUCAUUUUGCAUUUGAACAGAAAGAAUCCCUAUAAACAAAAUCAAUAGGUCUUUGAGUUCAAGAAUGACCAAAAGUCAUAAACAAAUAACAUGAUCUCUUUCCACCGCAUGUAUUUAUCUAGAUGCCAGUGGUCUAAACUCUCAGCAAAGGUAGCAUUUGGUAUGAUGGAAAGUAGUCACUUUCCUAGGAAUUUAAUAAGUUGGAAAAUGAUUCCAACGUUUGGUAUGUUAGAUUUUAUUUACUUUUCUUGGAAUCUAACUUUCCCUUAAGAAUUACUUUCCCGUAAAUAUGGCAAUACGAUUCCCAUGAUAAAAAGGUGGGAAAAUUACUUUCCCAUUCCCAUGUAGAUUGAAAAGUUGAAAAAAUAUUAAGACAAAUUAACCCUAUUUUAUAUUGGAAAAACUAUUGUCUUCUUCCUUUGUCCUACUACUUGAUUUUCUCUAUUACUUCCACCAGAUUCUUCCUACAAUUUUAAUCAAUACCUUCCAAUAUAUUAACUUCCUCAGUAAUCACAUUCCCAGCCAUCAUAUUCCAUCGAAUCACAUUCCAUAGGAAUCAUAUCAUGGAAAAGCACCAAACACUACCAAAGAGCAAAUUUACGAACAGGGUUCUUGAUGGUGAAAAGAAAAGAACAAGGAUUAAGGAGCAUACCCCUUCAGUUGCGAAUAUCCUAGCAGUGCAAUGGAAGCCAUUCCUAUAUGUAAUCCCCUGCACAUUAGUAUUGUGUUUCUGCAACUUAACCUGACCAAACAACCGUAGAUACAAAAGAAGCUUUACUAAUUGUUACGUUGUCAACAAAACCAGGAAGCAAUAAAUAGAACUUAUCUUAAAGGAAACUAAUCAACAUUUACAUGUUCCCAAAGAGGAAAUUUUCCGAUUUUUAAAUUCGAUGAUUGAACCCACAUUCCUAGCAACACUAACAACCUAGUUAAAUUGGUAAUUGUUACAACUUAACAAACAUAAUCCUUCAAAAAUUUCCGAACCCAUAUCUAAAAAAAAAGGCUUUAUUUUCCAAAUUUUUUAGGAUGAGAAAUGAAAACGAUAAGAAAGAAGUUAUACCUUGACAGUGUCGAAGGGGUGACCGACGACGACAGUCGCAACACCGGCGAACAAGCCCGCGACGUACUCUUUGUAACUGUAAGGUUUGCGACUGUCUUCCAUGACCAUGUUUUGGUAAAUGUCUAAAGCCUUUUUUUAGUUUGACAGUAAAAAGAACAUCGGAGAUUCGGUCCACUCCGCGCCAGAUCCUAUAGAGCGAUUGUGCGAGGGAGAGCUACAGCGAAAUCCUCGUCAAAAUCUCGAGUAUCAAUAAUCUAGAACUAAAUUACUACUAUAUGUUCUAUCUUUUUAUUAUUAUUAUUUUAAAUAUAUAUUUCAAUUUUUUUUAAAAAUCAGUUGAUAAUUCAUUAUGUUUUGUUUUUUAUUCUUUUUAUUAUUUGUAAUCAAAUUUCAUGUAAAAUAUGAUAAAAAUUUUAAACAUAAUUUAAAGUAAAAAUAUGAAAAUAAAAAUACAUGAAAUGAUAUUUUAAUCAUCCAAAUAAAUUUUGAAAUAUUGAUUUUCUUACAUGAAAUAUUAACUUGUUAAUUGAAGUUGUAAACACUAAUAAGGAAGACUGUAAAAGGAAUUUAAGCAUUUUGUGACAACCAACUUUUCAAAGUCAUCAUUCAAUGAUGGAACCGAGGUCGGAAGAG